ACGGCUAGGUUGUGGUCUAUGCCAGCGGGAAAAGAAGUCAAGGUGUACCAAGGUCAUCACAAAGCCACCGUGUGUUGUGCCCUCCAUGAUUAAAAACAUGAAUUAAUAGUCAAACAAAACUAAAUAAAGAACAGAUAAUCAUUUCUCUCUUUUGUGUGUUUAGGAAACUCUUGUACAUUUGUAUCAGAUUCAUCUCAAGUUUUAAACCUUUAAUUGUUAGAGCAUCUGCAUCAAUAAACCUUCAGAGGGAUAACUUUAAUUUUUUUUUCGUAUGAAUUUUUAUUAAAAAAAAAUAGAAAAAAAAAUAAGCAGACCAAUCUGUAAGAAGUGAAUUUAUAAAAAUGAAAAUAUUAUAAUAUUAUUUUUUUAAGAAUGAUGUGAACCUAGACAUUGAUUCCUCAAUGCAGAUGCUCUUAGUUUUUACUCUGACCUCUCUGUCAUCAAACAACUCAGAAAUAUAAUGACAAAAACUAGGGAUUAACCCGGGCUACGCCCGGGAUUUUUUAUUUUUUUUCUAAUUUAAGUUGUUAAAUUAUUUAUAUUUAGGUUAUGAUAUAUAUUUAUAUAAAUGUUAAGAUGCAUGUCAUAAUUAAAAUUUAUUUUUAAAUUUUAGCACGUUAAAUUAACAUAUUUUUACUAUUUAAAUAUUUUUUUAUAAUUGUGUUGGCUAUCUAGUUAUCAUAUUUAGCAAAACUAUAUGUUGAGUGUUGGAAUAAAUGUUUUAGAUAUUUAAUUAAAUUGCAGAGUAUUUUCGGAUCGACCACAUGCUCAACAAUCGAUCCAUCCGUAAAAAGAUGGUCGAUCUCCUUGGCCAUGUAAGUACAAUUUUAGCAAAAAUAUCUUGGAUUUUCAAAUAUUAAGUAUAUAACUAUUCUUUUGAAUAUUGUUUUUUUGAAUUGUAUUAUUUGAUUAAAUUAUUGUAUUAUAAUGUUUAUGUAAAUAUUUUUUGUGAUGUUUGAAUUUGUGUUGUUCGUAUACUUAACCUAGAUGAUAUUGAUGUUUAACAAUUUAUUGUUUUCUGGAAAUAGAAAAUAAUGAUAUAUCAAAAUGUAUUUAAUACUUGUUAAAUGAUAGUAUAAUGUAAAUUACAUCCAUUAUUUGAAAAUAACCAUUUGUUGUUUUUAUUUGUUUUUAAAUCAGAAAUUAUUUUUAUUUAAAAAACAUUAUUCAUAUAUAAUAUAAUAGUUUAAGUUUGGAAAAUUAAUCUAUAUAUAUAAAUUAUGUAUAUUUAAAAAAUAAUAAUUUAAGAUAUUAUAUAUUGAGUAACUGAAUAAAAGCUGAAUUUCUUAUCUUGAAAAUCAAAUAUUUAUAUUUUUGUCUUCAUGUUAUACUCACCAAUCCAUCAUUGAUAUUUAUAACUCAGUAUGUUUUUAAAAAAACUUAGUUUUAAGUAAUAAACGAAUUUAAUAAAUUAAAUUCAUCACCUAUAAUGUUCUGUAAACUAUAUUUGAAAACUCUCUUAAAUUAUAUUUUAAGCAUAAUAUUACUAUUAUUUAAUUUAAGUUAUUUUAAGCAUAAUAUAUGCUAAACCAACUUAAAUUAUAUUUACAAUAGGACUAUUCUAAACCGAUUAAUAAACCAAAAGCAAUACUAAACUAAUAUGAACCAAUACCUGAUUCGGCGAGGAAGGAAGUGUUUCAGGAUAAACGCUUGAAUGGUGAUUAACUGUAAUGGUUUGAUCAUGAAAGAGUUAGUAUGAAUAUUAACAAUAAAAUUAUGGAUUAGAUUAAUUUAAAUUUGUAAGAAUACCUUUGAGUCUAUGAAAAGCAAUUCAAUUCCCAUGAAUAAGUUUGGCUUUUGGAAGUUGCAGGUUUCUCAACAAUGAAUCCACCUAACAAAAAGUUCGUUGUUAUAAAAAAUCUCCUUCAAGGUCAUUAAAGGUUUCUGGGACAGCAAGAGUUGAUGGUGGAACCAUUUUUUUGCUCGAGUGCUUUGAAGUUUUCCUUGAUAGUGUGAGGUUGAUGUUGAUGGAAUAAUGAGUUUUAUAGGGAUUUUCUUGAUGCAAAACUAUACAUUUUUUUUGUUUAAUGUGGUAUUUCUAUUUUUAUAUAAUUUAUUACCAUUUUAAGAUAGAUGUACAUUUUAAGAUAGAUGUUUAAAUCUUAAUGUACUUUUUCCAUUUUUUAAAAUGUUUAUUUCCAUUUAUUAUAUUUUUUAACGUAAUAUCUAUAUUUUAUAUUUUAAAAUAGAUAUUUAAAUCUUAAUGUAUUUUUCCAUUUUUUUAUUGUGUAUUUACUUAUAUUAUAUAUUUUACAAUUUAAGAUAACUUUUUUAUAAAAACAAUUUAGAAUUUUUUUUUUCAAAUUUCUUUUUGAAAAAAGAAAAUUAUGCUUGAAACUAUUUUUUAAAAAUUUUUAUAUAUUUUUUAAGUAUUUAUAUAUUUAUAAGAAAUAUAAAUUUCACAUUCCAAAAACCCUACCCCACCCCUCAACUCUAAACCCUAAGUCUAGAUUAGUUACCCUAAGGGUAUAAUUGUAUUUUACUCUUCAUUAAAAGUGAGGGUAAAAGUGGUUAGUAUAAACAUGAAAAGUGGUACUAUGAAUGUGGUAUUUGUGGCAAUUUCCCAAUGAACUUUUUCCAUUUUUUUAAAAAAAUUGUGUAUUUACUUAUUAUUAUAUAUAUAAUUCAUAUAUUAUAUAUUUACAUUAUUUACUUAUUAUUUAUUUUCCUGUAUAUGUAUUUCCAUUUCUUGUACUUUUUAUUUACUUAAUAUCUCUAUUUUACAUUUUAAGAUAGAUGUUUAAAUCUUAAUGUAUAUUUUCUAUUUUUUUAAAUUGUAUAUUUCCAUUUGUUAUACUUUUUAUUUACGUAAUAUCUAUAUUUUAAAUUUUAAGAUAUAUUUUUAAAUCUUAUUGUAAUUUUUCAUUUUUUAAAUUGGGUAUUUACUUAUAUUAUAUAUUUACUUAUUAUUUAUUUUUAUUUAUAUUGUGUAUUUGCAUUUCUUAUACUUUCUAUUUACUAAUAAUUUUAUAUUUUAAGAUAGAUUUAUAUUUUAAGAUAGAUAUUUAAAUACUAAUGUACUUUUUCAUUUUUUUUUAAAUUGUGUAUUUCCUUUUCUUAUACUUUCUAUUUUCGUAAUAUCUAUAUUUUACAUUUUAAGAUUGAUGUUUAAAUCUUAAUUUACUUUUUCCAUUGUUUUUAAGUUGUUUAUUUAUUUUUCUUAUACUUUCUAUUUACUUAAUAUCUAUAUUUUACAUUUUAAGAUAGAUGUUUAAUAUUUAAUGUACUCUUUCCAUUUUUUUUUUAAAUUGUGCAUUUACUUAUUAUUGUAUAUAUAAUUCAUAUAUUUAUAAUAUUUACUUAUUAUUUAUUUUUUCUAUAUAUUGAGUAUUUUUCUUUCUUAUACUUUAUAUUUAGUUAAUAUCUAUAUUUAUAUUUUAAGAUAGAUGUUUAAAUCUUAAUGUAUUUUUCUAUUUUUAGUGUAAAACGACAAUGUUUAAUAGAAAAACUUGGACAAAUAGUUAAAUAGUUAUAUUUAUGUUUCUUUUUUCUUUUUUUAUAAAAUGGUAAUGUUACAUUAUGGAUAUAAGCCGUUUUCUUUAGUGAAAAAUGGUAAUCUUACAUAUGUUUAAUAUAGUUUUUCCAUUUUUUUUUUAUNNNNNNNNNNNNNNNNNNNNNNNNNNNNNNNNNNNNNNNNNNNNNNNNNNNNNNNNNNNNNNNNNNNNNNNNNNNNNNNNNNNNNNNNNNNNNNNNNNNNAAAAUUUAAUUAAAUUUAAAAAUCUUACCGCAAACAUUUUAAACCAAGUGAUCUUAACGUGAUUUGGAGUCUUGCUCCAGUUCGGAUAUGCCCCGUCGUAGUAACCCUUAAUCGUUUUCGAAACGCUCCGGCCAACACGGUUGUUAGCCCCAAACCUGAAAGGAAAACAAUUUAACCGUUUAAAAAUAAAAAUAAUUUAAAUUUUAAUGUAAUAAAAAUUAAUAACUUACCAAUAAGUUCCUCGGGGUCUAUCGGGGUCUAGAACAUCCAAACCCUCCCGUCCAGGCUGGGCAAGCAAAUCCUCUACCGUAUAUCUCGCGAAUGGGGCAUAUGAAGGCACACGCAAAUCCGGAUGAACUGCACCUUCUGGGACAGGCUCAGGUGCAGCCGCUGGAGGAGGAGGUGGAGGCAUAUGCGGUGGAGGCAUUUGCGGUGGAGGCAUCUGCGGUGGAGGAGGACUCCAAGCAACUCUCUGAGAAGGCUGAGAGUCUGGAACUGCGAGGGAGGAUGAUGGACCGGAAGACGAUGGACAGGAAGAAGAUGUACCGGAACCAUCGUCGCCAAACAAAUCUCUAUAGCUAGGUGCUCUGGAUUUUCUUCUAGGAGCCAUCUAAAAAAACUAAAAUAAAUUUAAUCAAUUACGACAUAAUAAAAAUAUUAUUCUGUUACCUAACUAAUCACCUAAACUAAUUACUUAACUAAUCACCUAAACUAAUUCCGUUACCUAACUAAUCACCUAAACUAAUUUAAAAAAAAAAAAAAAAAAAGAGAGAAGAGAGAGUUUACCUUAGAGAGAGCAAAGGAAUUUGGGAGGAAUGAGCGAGGCAGCCUCGCUCUCGGCGUCCCCUUAUAUAGAUUAGGAUUCGUCGUAAAAGCGACGUAAUUUUACGACGAAUUCACCAGGCCCGCGUUUUUCCAUUUACGACGAAUUUACCAGGCCCGCGUUUUUUCAUUUACGACGAAAUUACCAGGCCCGUGUUUUUCGUUUUACGACGAAAUUACCAGGCCCGCGUUUUUCCAUUUACGACGAAAUUACGACGCUUAACCCUAAACACCGAGAAUGAAAUCCCUAAACCCCAAAGUCACAUAUCAUCUAACAUCAUAUCUUAUUUCAUACUACUUCUUACUCUUUCUUUUAGAAAAUGUUACAAUAGAGAAAUCCAACAUUUGAUACAUAUAUUACAUCACUCUAAAUCGUUUUCGUUCUCAUCACUAUUACAUCACUCUAAAUCGUUUUCGUUCUCAUCACUAUCAUUACAAUCAUCAUCGUCGCUUCUCUCGAACUCGUCUUCACGUGCUUCAUCUGUCGCAUCUUCGGGAAUAUCUUCAUAUUGAAAGUUUUGCGGGUCGAUCAAAAGGAUUUCAUCAGUUGGUUGUUCUGGUACCUCAACUUCAGUGAUAGCGUCUUCUUCUUGCAAGGGCGGUUCUUCUCUAACGACAAUGCGUCCACGAGGUGUAACUUUGAUAGCAGUUACCCAGUUUAUCCCGAAAGUUCGAAGCCGAGGAUAAGGAAGGAAGCUAACUUGCUCGGCUUGUGAAGCUAAAAUGAAAGGCUCAAAUUUGUUGUAUCUUCUCCCAAAAUUGACAUCCACAACACCAAAUUUGUUAUACCGAAUCCCUCGGUUCACAACAGGAUCGAACCAUUCACAUUUGAAGAGGACGCAUUUUAGCUUCAAUAACCCCGGAAAUUCCACUUCAAUAAUCUCCUGCAAUAUCCCGUAAAAGUCUGUUUCACCUUUCACACAUAUUCCGUAGUUACUCGUUGCCCGAUGUCUCCCAUACUCGUAUGUGUGAAAGGUAAAUCCUCGUGUGAAAUACAUAGGUGAUGUGGUGACCUUUGCAACUGGACCUUGAACCAAUUCGUGAAACCAUACGGGAUAAUAAGGAUCGUCAUAAUCAACCUGCAAAAAACAUAUAUAUAUAUUUAAACACUUACUUAAUUAAUAUAAUAGUAUGAGAUAAAACAUAUAUAUAUAUAUAUAUUCUUAAACACUUACUUAAUUAAUAUAAUAGUAUGAGAUAUAUUACCUGUGAUUAAUAUGGUCAAAAAUAGAAAUUCUUGUUCCAUGCACAUAUCCGGCGGUAAAUUAUACGGCGUAAGAAUGACUGGCCACAAAGAAUAUUGUCUACCAGACAUUCCAAAUGGACUAAAUCCAUCGGUGCAUAACCCAAGAUAGUCAUUCCGAAUAUUUGUAGCAAAAUCUCCGUGUACCUUGUUGAAAUGUUUUCACGCUCUUGCGUCUGAUGGAUGUGCAACCUCACCAUCUCUCUGGACAUGUUUGGCAUGCCACCUCAUCGACGCAGCAGUCCUCUCAGAUUGAUAUAAUCUUUUCAAUCUGUCUGUAAUUGGUAGGUACCACAUCCUUUGGUACGGUACCCUAUUCCUCCCACGGCCUUGCGGUUUGAAUCGUGGUUUUUUGCAGAAUCGACACUCUUCUAACUUGUCAUCUUCCUUCCAGUAGAUCAUGCAGUUGUCGAUGCAAACAUCAAUCAUCUCCGAGGGUAACCCAAGACUAUAAACCAAUUUCUGAAUCUCAUAAUAAGAUUCAGCAGACACGUUGUCUUCUGGCAAAUACUCUUUAAACAACUCCGCCCAUGCAUCAAUGCAAUUCUCAGGUAAAUUAUGAUCCGUUUUAAUAUUCAUCAUCCUAGCUGCUAGAGACAAUUUAGAGAGACCUUCUCUACAACCAGUGUAGAUUGGUUGAUUUGCAGCAUCUAGCAUUUUAUAAAACCUUUUUGCAUCCAAAUUAGGUUCUUCUACAUUUCCAGUUCCAUCUGCUAUUGUUGUAGUUGUUUCUAAAAAUGCAUCACUAAUCAUAUCUUGAACCCUAUCAUGAUCUACCAUCUGCUCCUCUUGAUGAUAAUUAUGUUCAUUAUGCACAUGAUUCAGUUCUUCAUUAUGAUGAGCAUCCUCAAAAUUAGCAUUACUACUACUAGCUUCAUUUCCCCCAUAACCCUCUCCAUGUUGAUACCAAAUGUAGUGCUGUGGUGUAAAUCCUCUGUUUACUAAAUGAUUCCAUACAGUUUCACUACGUGCAAAUUUUAAAUUCUUGCAUUUUGAACAUGGGCAGAACAUCUUACCGCUUUCCUGCGUGAUCGGUGUACAGCCCGCCUGGUGCAUGAAUGUCUCUAGCCCGUUCAGAAAUGCAUUCGUCACUCUCCCGUCGGAAUCUUUGUGCAAAUACAUCCAACUUCGUAACUCGUAAAUACUACCGCCACCGACCAUUUUUUCUUCUAUUUUUUUUAAAAAAUUUUUUUUUCCGUUUGGGUCUUCUGAGGAAGAGAGUUGUGUGUUGUGAGGAAGAGAGUUGUGGGAAAUGACAUAUAUAUAGAGAAAUUUUCGAGUUGGGUAGUUGAAAUAUAACAACGAUUUUACAAGGAAACUUUUACAUGGAUUUUACAUAGUUUUUUUACAACGACUUUACAACGAACUUCGAUAAGUUUUUCACCUAAAUAUAACGGUAACAUGAUUCGUUGUAAUAUCGAUGUAAAGUUUUCUUUUCGACGUACUUACGUCGUAAUAUUACAUGGCGUUUACGACGAAAUUUGGUUUCGUUGGAUUCGUCGUAAUUGCAUUGUUAACCCACCAUUUACUAUUUCUAAGACAACGAUAAGGAACCUGUGUCGUUCGUCUGUCUGCCAAUUCAGUGGAACGACAAGGAGAAAGUGGACGGAAAUGCAGCUGGUUUGUACUUGAGAGGAACCUUUGACGAUGGUCGGAGGUUCCACUCAAGUAUAAACCAACUGCACUUCCCUCCAUUUUCUCCUUGUCGCUCCACUGAAUGGCAGACAGACGAAUGACUCAUGUUCGUUAUCGUUAUCUUCGAAAUAGUAAUUGGUGGCUGAAUGAGGAGUUGUGUGUUGUGAGGAAGAGAGUUGUGUGUUGUGAGGAAGAGAGUUGUGGGAAAUGACAUAUAUAUAGAGAAAUAUGGUAAGUUUUACAUGGAUUUUACAUAGAAAAUUUACAACGCGUUUACAACGAAUUUAGGUAAGUUAAAGCACAUUGAAUACACGUUUUCACCUUUAUAUAACGGUAACACGAUUCGUUGUAAUGUCGAUGUAACGUUUACAACUAUUUCGCAUUCCAUGUACUUUCGUCGUAAACUUACAUUGACUUUACGACGAAAACGUUUCGUCGUAAAUUACCAUGGAGUUUACGACGAAGUUAUGUCUCGUCGUAAUUGCGUUGUAAAGCGUAUGUAAAUUUACGAGGAAAUUAUUUCCUCGUAAAACGCCGUUGUUACUGCUACGUUUUCUUGUAGUGACGUGACUUGUCCACAACAUAUGUAUCCACCAGAAAACUGUCCACAAUGUUAAUAUAUACUAAAAAAAUUGAAGUAUUAUAAUAUAUAUACAUAUGGAUGUCAAAAUAAAAAUAAAAAAUAUUUUAUUUUAACGUCAAUAUUUUAUUUUAUAUAUUUACAUAUUGAAAGUAUUAAAUAAUGAUGAAUAAAAGGUGAUGGGGGAACUUUAGUCAUUAAAAAAUCACUAUCAAGCUAAUCCUAGACCGUUGGAUCUUCUUCUACGAAAACAGAUCUAACAGCCAAAAGUAAUUCACUACAUCCCAUACAACUAACUAGUCUCGUAAUAAAUAUUCAAUUUAUUGUAAACAUCCAUAAACCAAUUUCCUUAUAGUUAGCUACCUCAAACCAAGCGCUUUCUCUUUUGUCAAAAGCAAGACAAUUUUGGUCUGAAAAUAGCACACCGUACAAGAGAAAGUGUGUCAAAUAAUAUUGUGUCUUCAGACGUAAAGGAAAGAUAGAAUGUGUCUUUUAGAUGGAUCUCAAUAUAAGUAUUAUAUCAACCCCACAAAGACAUGUCUAUUUUUAGAAAGAGAAAAAAAUUUGAUUAGUUAGGAUAAAGAGAUGAGAAAGAAACAAGAGAGAGUAUUAAAAGGUAAAAAAAAGAAUACUAAAGGGUAUAAGUGACAAUAGAUAACCAAAAAGUGUGUGGCAAGUGGAUUGUGUCUCUAAGUGUAAAUAGAAAGUUAAAAUGUGUGUCUAGAUGUAAGUUUUUCUAAAGAUGGUGACACUUCUUUUCUAUUGAAACUAAAGCACAAAACAAUACUUGUCUAUUUUAAAUGAUUUUUUUACAGGUUUUCAUUCUGUUUUUUAAUUAAUUGUUACAACUUCAUUUAUUAUUUUUUUUCUAACUAAAUUGACAUCAUUUACUAAAAAAGUACACAAGAAUGUAGUUACCUAUUUUUAAUUGUUUUAUUAUAUCUUUUACAUUAAUUUUUCAUUGUUUUUAACUGCUUCAUUAAUUAUCUUUACUGGUUUAAAGUUGGGUCUUCCCAAGUUUGGAUGGAUUCAUUUUUGAUGUAUAGAAACAUAAAAAUAUCCAAACUAAUGUAUCUGAACUAGGUUUAGAUAUUUGUACUAAAACUAACUAUAUUAACCUAAAAAUAACCAAAUAACCAAAAGUAACCAUAUUACCCGAUUUGAUUCAUGUUCGAUUGUGAUGUAUAUGAACCUAAAAAUAUUCAAGUACUUAUACAAUUAAUUAUAUGAUGACACAUAGAAAAUAUAUAACACUAAUGAUUAAAAACAAAAUACUAAUUUAUAAAGAAAAAAUAGUAUCCACAUUGGUGUGCGGAUUAAUCUCUAGUUGAAAUUAAAUUCAGCGACAUACUUGCUAUUAUGUUUAUCAAAACUAUACGAACGAAGGGGACCAAAGUCUACUAAUACUAAAAGGACAAUAAGUUCAACAUCUAGUGUCCACAUCAUCUGAUGAAAUCAGCCAAUCAUAAAAAAAGCUUUUGACAUGUCAUUUCAGUUAAUGUUAUUGUUUUUUUCAACAACAAAAACUCAUAAAAUAACCAACAUAUCAGGCUCAUGAUGCUUUCUGACAGCUCAACGCUCAUCAGAGAUAUAAACAAUGACAUUUAGGUGAAGAAAAUAUGUGGUAUCAUCAACGAUAUUCAGCAGAUCGUCUCUGUUUUUGUCGAGAUAUAGCUUUCUCAUCUUUCUCGGUCGCUGACAUCGAGGCCUCUGAAUUACCGAAGCAAGCCCUUUCUCUUUCUAAUUAUGCUGUAUUGAACCCAAUUUUGGACUAAUUUGGACCGGAGGCCUUUUCUAGUUUAAACGAAAUUUCACGGAAAAAUCAGGCUUUAUCGUAUGAUAUUUUUCUAAUUUAUUCUUUUGAUAUUGUUUAGUGGUCCAGUGCAAUCUAUACUAUAUAAAAGUUGAGGCUAUAAACCAUUGAGAGCGUCCACCUAAGGUAUAAAACCACCAAUCGUAAUACUCAAACAUCUAAUAUACAUGAAUUUAGAUAGCAUUGUUUUUAUUUCCAAAUUAGUUGUAUAUAGACUAUAAAUAAUCCUCUAAAUUUAUAAUAAAGUUAUAAAACUUUUAUAAAAGUAUUUUAAAAAAUGAAAUUGUAAAUUUUGUUUCAAAGAUUUUUUUUUUGAAGAUAUAUGCUAUACAAAAUUUGAGUCUAUAAAUCACUCAAUGUGGCCUCUAAUGAUUUAAAACCACCAGUCAAAAUAUGAAAAAUCAAUAAAAAAGCUUACUAGUUUCUAAAAUAUCAUUAUUUUCAACAAAAAAAAAUCAUUCAAAAUAAAAAAAUAGUUACAUAUUAGUUAAAGUAAACUAAAAAUAAAGGAAGUAACUUGACAUAUUACUUUAACAUUUAACAUAAAACUAAUAUUAUUUUCUUAUAAGCACAAAAACUUGAAAAUCAAAGCUAUCAAUACUAUUAAAAGGGAAGGAGUUUUAAUAAAUCUACUUAAAAAGAUUGUUUGGACCCUUUCAUUAUUAAUUUAAUCUAUUAUAUACAAGCAAAUAAAUCAUAACUUAACCCUAUAUUCGUUCAAAAAAAAAACUUAAACCUAUCAGUUUUAAUAACAACCCGUAGAAUACCAUGGCGUAGCAAACCGGACUACGUUUUCAUUUAUGUCAAAAUACUACGUGUUUGUUUUGUUAGGUUUCGUUAGAUUCAAAUUUUUAUGAUUAGGGCCACAUGUUAUUAUCUAAUGGAUCAUUUCCAUUAACAAAAAUAUAUUUUCUUCAAACUUUACGAACAUAUACCACACUGAAUAGGAAAAUAUAAUAAAUGAUGGCCUUAUAUCAUAUUAAUCUCAUAGUUUUACAAUUGUAGCGUAAAUAGUUUUUGCAUAUAAGGUUCUAUGGUAUCAGACAACAUCGAAUAUUUAUAUCAAAAAUAUUAUGUUAAUCUUUUUAAAAACAACUAUGUGUUUAUGCAAAUUAUGUUUGAUUUUUUUUAAUUAUAUAUAGUUCACUUAAAAUUUAAAAUUUAAAAAUAUAAAAUUUAUACAAAUUUAAACAUAUAUUAUAGCACAUGUUAAAAUAAAUUUAUUAUGUAUAAAAUUUAUAAUUUUCAUUACAUAAAUAUAUAGGGCCUCAUUUGAAUAUCCAGAAAAUAAUCAAUUUGUGGACUGAACCUCACAUUGAGAAUUAAUUUGAACUAUUCAAUAGGUUUAAAAUACUAGGUUAAGAAAGAUUUUUUUUAAAAGUAGCAAUCCUGCCUUUUACAACUUGAUUCAAAAGUUUGAAUCUAUAUAUUAUUAAAAGAGAACUAUCUAAAAAUCUACGUGAAAAGGCUGUUACACCCAUUAUUAACUAAUUAUUAUUUUUUGUUCUACUUUAUAUUUUUCUAACUAUAUCAUAAUAAAUGUUCUUAUUUUGACCUUUUAAUGCAACUAAUCUUAAUAAAUCUGAUAUCUAAUAUCAAAGCAAAUACGGUUAGUUAUGAUUUAUGCUCGGGUUUGGUUUAAUUAAUUUCAAAAUCAAAAUAUAUCUUUACCAACACGUUCUUCUAUCUCGCCACAUUUACACACAAUGUCACAUUAUAAUAUUGAAUAAAAUAAAUCCAUAUAUGUCAUAUACCAUAUAAUAAAAACUCAUGUGUAUCGUGUAUCAUUGAUAUCCUAUGGAUCCUUAUACCCUAAACCCUUAUCCAAAGUCUAAAAGUUUAAUAAAUAUGUAAGGGAACCAUGAUCAGGAUAAUAAAUUUUGUAUUCUCAUAUCUAAUUUAUGUUAUAACAUAUUUUUGUUCAAAUGCGUAAUAACAUUGUUCUAUUUUUUAUAUAAAAAAAUCAUAACUAAUUUUAAUUCCAAAAUUCAUAAAUGUAACUUUAAAACAAUAAUUAGAAACAUAUAAAUUAAAAUGCAUAACAUAAAAACAACGCACUUACCUUAUAAGACAAAUCAAAUAGUUUAUUCAGUUUUAUGUACUAUUAUAAAAUAUAUGAGACGUUAAAUAAUAAGAAAAUAUUAUCAAAUUUUUAUGGGUUCUUAGCGGGUAAACCGAUAUUGGUUCACAGGUUAAUAACAGUUUUUUAUCAGAUUUUAAUUAAUGAAUUUUCAUUAAAUCUGAAUUUUGUGAAAAUAUAUCAGUUGGUAUAACCUCUCAUAGAAUGCUACAUGAAGAACAUAAGCAUCUCUGAAUUAUAUAUGACCACCUGUUUUACUGGCUUGACAGCGGAUCGGAUAUGGAAACACUGCUUACAUUUCGAAUAAAAAAUAUUAGGAUAAUUUAGGUUUUGGGUAAUUUGUUUUAUAAAUAGUAUUUUUAGGAUAUUUGUUUAUUUAGAAAUUAAAUAUAAUUAAUAUUUGUAGGUAAAUCAUUUUUAUUUUAAAAAUACAUAUACCCAUUUGGUUUUCGGUUUGGUUUCAAUUUUUUGAUUCAAGAGAUAAAACAUCUAGUCGGGUAUUCAUGAAAUUCAGUUCAAUUUUGUUUUUGGUUUUUUCUGUUGGUUCCUAGGUUCCGGAUAAAUGUUCUAAGACUUAUAUACUAUUUCAUAUAGAAAUUCAUUAAAAAAAAUUAAAACCAAAAAUAAACUCGCGCUUUUCAGGCGCGGGUCAGAAUCUAGUAGGAACUUAAAACACAUAUAAUUUGAAAGUUAUCCAAAAGCUACAUACAGAAUUCAAAGUUACCAAGAUUUUCAAAAUCCACUUAUUUAAAAUAAAAUAAUUCAAUAUCAAAUACUGUAAACAAACAUAGGGAAUCUUUUUAAAAUAAUAACUUUAUAUACAUGCCAAUUAUUUGGAAGAACGGCAAGGAAAUUAAUUAAAAAACUAUUUUUUGAAUUUUGAGUAUGUUAAAACAUAGAAAUAUAAGUAUAUAUUGAAAAAAUAUAAUUAAUAUAAAUAUUUCUUUACUAAUAAAACAAAACAAGAUUAACAUGAAAUUGAAUAUAUUUUUUCCGAAGUAGUUGUGUACACUAUAAAUAAUCAUUUAUUUUAUAAUAGGUUAUACAAGUUUUGUUUAUAAACAAUGGAUAGUUUCAGUUUUUUUUUACCGAGUUAAUUCAUUCUUUCGUUUUCAAUACAUUCACAAAAAGAUAUUUUAAAAAGAACCAUUGAUAAGAAUAAUCCACUUUAUGUGAAACACUAUAAUGUUAAUAAGAAUUUUAUUUAUCAUUUCAAACAUGUUCUUUUGAUCAAAAGGAUAUAUAGAAAAUAAUAUAUAUAAAAUAAAAAGUCUAAAGACGCACAUCAGUUAGUUGGAUGGAUAAGCCAGUGAGAGUCUUAUCAAAAGUGUAAUAUUUUCUAAAAUUUCAAAACAAAUUCAUACAUUUUAUCUAAGACUAACAAGAAUUAUGAUAGGUUACUUUAGUGUAUGAUUAAAAUUUAUGAUAAGAAUAAUAAAAUGUACGGUAAAAAUCAUUAGACAUUAAAUAUUAUGCAAAUAGAUUAAUCGAGCAAGAUGAUAGGUAAAAUGAUGAUAAUGUUUUAUACAAAGUGUAUUAACAGUUAUAUGUGUCGAGAAAUAUACAUAAUAGUUUUAAAAAAAUUCAAAAUAUAUUUUAUAAACAUUAUAAGUACCUUUAUACACAUAAUAUAUUCAGUUAUAAAACAAAAAAAAUAUCUAAGAAGUAAUUAGCUUAAAGCUAUAAUUUUAUAGAAUACAUAAGUAGAAUGGCAGAAAAUAAUAUUUUAAUACAUUUAUAUUUAAAUAAAUUUAUACAAAAACAAAGAUUAUAUAUUAGUGAGAUUUAAAAUUAUUAUAAAAAUAAACUAAAUUAUUAAUACAAAAUUACACGUAGUGCGAAUUUAAAAUCUAGUCUAUAUAUAAAAGUUGAAACUAUAAGCCAUUGAAGAUAUCCACAUAGGAUGUUAAACAACCAAACAAAACAUGACAAAAUACUAUUUAAAUUUAUUAUUCUUAACAAUGUGAAAAUUUUGUUUAUAUAGGAUGUUAAUCACCAAUUAUAUUAUGUCAAAUCAUUAUCUUAAUUAAACAUCCAAAAUAGCCUAAAUACUAUAUUACCUUAACUAUAAGACAAAACAACUCAUAUUUCCAAAGUGCAAGCGAACUUAUUAAAAUGUAAUCUUAACAAAAAGAAAAACCUAACGAUCACAAGCUAUGACCAACCAUUGUAUACAGGACCGUGCCUGAUAAUUAUUGGCCCAUAAGCUAAAAUUAUUUUUUGGCCCUUUAAAUUUUAAAAUUCGCAAAAAUACUAAAUAGUGCAUCAAUGGAGGUUCAAACCAUGGUAUGUAAUUGCAGUAUCAGCCGCUUAUACCAAUAGAGCUACAUGAGAUUUCUGUAAUUUUUGGCCCCAACAAAUAAUCAAACCAUGGUAUGGAAUUGCAGUAUCAGCCGCUUAUACCAAUAGAGCUACAUGAGAUUUCUGUAAUUUUUGGCCCCAACAAAUAUUUAUUGUCUCCGGCCCUAAAGCACAUGCUUUACUGGUUUGUAUUCAGGCCCGGCCCUGAUUGUAUAUAAUAAUUUUAACUAACAAAAACGUAAAUAUUAAAAAAUAAUGUCUUAAGAUAUAUCAAGUUUUAAAAAUAUAUAUAAAUAUAAAUAUUUUAUUUAAAAUCAACCCAAGAUAUGGGAAUUGUGACAUAUACAACUGGGAAAAUAAGCAAAAUAACGGUACGACUACACAACCAAAAGGUUUAAAACUGCUAGCAUACACUGUCAGGUUGGUUUGAGCAACCCCGGAGCACACAUUUCCAUCACCUCUCAGUUGCUGUUAAUCCUGUUAAGGAGCCAAGGCAUCCAACUCUUUUCCACAGUCUAAUCCACCACAUAAGUUGAAGCUCACCAUUGCGAAGGAGGAACAGGGUACUCCAUACCUGAGAGAAUUAAGAUAUAAUCAGCCCUGGCCCAGAUAAAGACGAGAUGAGAAGGAGCCGCUUUGUCGAGGAGGGAAAUAGCAACUCAGAAGAAAAAGAUAUUUCCUGUGAAGAUAGACCAAGCGACACCACCACGACACUGGGAUGGAGCUCUCCAAAACGCCAUCACAAAAGGUUAAAUCGGAGCUCCGAUGACCGACAAAUCUCUGCAAAACCCCACGCGAUCCACCUCUAAAGACUAUAGAUGAUUCUUCAUCCUGCAAAGAGAAAGAGCAACCAGUGAUAGAACGGUUGCAAGUAGACACAAACCAAACUCUCUGACCAUCACCAAGAAUAGCGCUACACCGGUGAUGGCUCUCACACGCCAAAGCCAUGGAAUGAGAGAGACAAAGACUGGAGAAGACUGCCUGAACUGAUGACGCCUGAGUAUGGACGACUCCACGCGCCAAGUCAAGACUGGAAGUCAACACGCGUCGGUGGAGCUCAACAACUGACGCCGCCAGAAGAGAGUAAGGCCACCACACAACUUAAAGGAGCACCUCAUAUCUCUUAUAUACUAAUUGAGAAACAUUACAACAUUUUUGUAGCCAGGUGUCAUCACUAUGAUGAUUCUUAGAAUCUUUAAAGAAAUAUGUUGGUCCGUCUAAUUAUAUAAUAAAAUUUUUAUUAAACUAACCAUAAAUUCAUUAUUAUUGUUCUUUAUUAUUUUCUUAAAUAAAAGUUACAAAAUUACCUAAUGUGACUAAAGUAUAUAUGACAAUUAAUGAUUUUAAAUAAUAAAAAUUUGAUAAAAAUUAGUGUAUCUUCUAUCAUAUUUCUUUAAUUUUAAACUAUUAAAAUAAAUUAAAAAACUACAUUAACCAUAUAAAAAAAUUUAGAUUUUUCUGAAUAUGUUAUAUUUUAAAUUUUUUAAAAUGACUAUAAAUUACUAAAACUGAUAAAAUUUUCACAUUCAAAAUUUAUGAUCCAUAGUUUAAAAUUUUCGUUAUGACAAGAUACAAAUGAUUAAAAAAUCAUAUAAGUAAAUAGUCUAAUUUAAUUAAUUAUUAAGCUUAAAGGAUAUAUAUAUAUAUAUAUUAUUUUAAAUUAAACUAUAUACCAUAUAAAAUAUAUAAAUAUUUUAAUUUCAAAAUUUACUUUAAACAAUUUCUUUUGAUAAAAGCUUUGAAAAAAAUUAACAACUUAAGUUUUUAAAAAUUAAAAGUUACUAAAAAUACUUCUCUCGGAGGAAUGGGAACUUAUCUAGGAUUACCAGAAAAUCUUGGGGGUUCAAAGGUUCAGGUUUUUAGUUUUGUGCAGGAUAGACUAAACAAACGGGUUAAUGGUUGGACUUUUAAGUUCUUUACAAAAGGAGGAAAAGAGGUGAUUAUUAAAUCGGUGAUUACGGCAUUACCAAAUCAUGUGAUGUCUUGCUAUCGAUUGCCUAAGGCAACCGUAAAGAAACUGACAGGUGCGGUAGCCCAAUUUUGGUGGAGCCCCGGGGGAAGUACGAGAGGUAUGCAUUGGAAAUCUUGGGAUAAAGUAUGUGUUAGCAAGGAGGAAGGAGGACUGGGUUUUAAAGACAUCACUGAUUUCAAUACAGCGAUGCUUGGUAAACAGUUUUGGCGAUUGAUCGAGAAGCCAAAUACUUUAUUUUCUCGAGUUUUUAAAGGUCGAUAUUUCAGGAAUGCAUCACCCCUGGAACCGAUUCGCUCAUACUCUCCGUCAUAUGGAUGGCGGAGUAUUACAUCAGCUAGAUCUCUGGUUAGCAAAGGACUAAUCAAACGGGUGGGAUCAGGAUCUUCUAUCUCUGUAUGGAAUGAUCCUUGGCUCCCAACCACUCGCCCGAGACCAGCAAAUAAAAACCAACACAAUCUUUACCCUGACCUCACAGUGGCUUCUCUUAUAGACCCCACUUUGGGAAUUUGGAACUCGCAGGCACUUCAGGCUCUAGUGGAUCCACAGGAUGUGAAAAUUAUCGAGAGUAUACGACUGAGUAGAUAUCAGUUGGAGGACAAAGAUGGAUGGCAUUUCACAACAAAUGGGAAAUACACGGUUAAAUCGGGAUAUCAGGUAGAACGAGUUUACCCGGAUAGAGCAAAACCACCAGCAUUUUUUGGACCUACGGUCGAUGGUUUGAAAUCAUUCUGCUGGAAAGUCAGGUGUCCACCAAAGCUUAAACAUUUUCUCUGGCAGUUGGUGACAGGGUGUAUAGCGGUUAAGAAAAAUUUACAAGCGAGAGGGAUAACUGGCGAUAUAUGUUGUACAAGAUGCGGAGCUGAGGAGGAAUCGAUAAAUCAUGUGUUUUUCGAAUGUCCUCCAGCACUUCAGGUUUGGGCUCUCUCAAAGAUACCAUCAAAUCCAACUACAUUUCCCACACAAUCCCUUUUUGCAAAUAUGGAUCAUCUUUUCUGGAGAGUCUUUCCGCAGUUAGAUGAUCAUCAGUUCGCAUGGAUACUAUGGUAUAUCUGGAAAGGAAGGAAUAGUAAGGUUUUUAGUAAUCUGGAUAUUGAUCCUAGGGAUACGCUCAAAUUGGCGGAAACAGAAUCAACCCUUUGGGCUGAAGCCCAACUAGUGAAUGAACAGAGAAUGGUCCCACAGGAAGAGAUUAGGUCUUCACUGUUAAAUCCAGGACGAUGGUGUUUCACAGAUGGUUCCUGGAAAGAGAAAGAUACUUUCUCCGGCCAGGGUUGGCACAGCACUUUAGAAGGCUUCGCUGGGUUGCUGGGGGCGAGGAAUGUUCGGGCUAGCCUUUCUCCUCUACAUGCGGAGAUGGAAGCACUACUAUGGGCUAUGGAAUGUAUGAGGAAUUUACGUCAAUCUCAGGUUACGUUUGCAACGGAUUGUUCUCAAUUGGUGAAGAUGGUUUCGGAACCAGAAGAGUGGCCAGCGUUUGCAAGUUAUUUGGAAGACAUCAAAAGUCUGAGAGCAAGUUUCCUACAAUCAGAGAUCGUCCAUGUACCAAGAGCGCAGAAUACAAAGGCGGAUAGCCUAGCACGCAGUGUUAGGAUUCAGCCGUCUUUCGUCGUUCACAUGGAUCAAUAUCUUCCGGCUUGGUUUACAGAGUCUAUAUGAGUCUGUAAAGUUGACGACAAAAAAAAAAAAAAAAAAAAAAAAAAAAAAACUUUUCCCAAAAAAAANNNNNNNNNNNNNNNNNNNNNNNNNNNNNNNNAAAAGUUGACAAAAAAAAAAAAAAAAAAAAAAAAACUAAAAAUACUUCUCUCACAAUGAAAAUUUUGUUAUCAGUAUUUUAAAUGUUUUGCUAUAAUAGAUACAAAUGAUCAAAAAAACCAUAUGAGUAGAAAAUAUCAUUUAAUAGACAGUAAAAUUAAAAAUAUUUUAUAUAUGUUAAUAUCAUUUAAAUUUAACUAUAUAUCCUAUCAAAUAAAAAAAUAUUGCUGGAUUAAUAAAAUUUAUUUAUAUGUUUCACCAAUUUAAUUAUAUAUGUAAUAGUUACUGAAUUUUCAAUUAUUCAAGGGGAAUUGCCACAAAUACCACUUUCAAUGUACCAUUUUUCAUUAAUACCUUAACCAAUUUUACCAUUAAAAUUUUAAUAGGCAAAAUACAAUUAUGCCCCUAUCUAAUUAAAACUACAACUAUUAUCUUCUUCUCCACUAUCCGAUAAUCAAUCCGACGAGAUCCGGUGAUUCUGACGAGUUUUCCGGCGAGCUUUGACAACGAAGACGAGCUCUCUUGCGAAAUCUGACGAUGCUGAUGAAUUCUCUGGCGAAACACGAAUGAGACGAUCUCUCUCCUGAUGCUGAUGAGUUUCCGGUGAGAUAUGACGACGCUAACGAGUUUUCCGGCGAGAUCUGACGAUGCCGAGAAGUUCUACGGCAAAGCUGACAGACUCGACAAGCUCAGACGAACGAGACGAUCUCUCUCCCAACGCCUAACGAGAAAUUCUCCGGCAAAGCUGACAGACUCGACAAGCUCAGACGAACGAGACGAUCUCUCUCCCAACGCCUAAGAAACACUAACAAAGGUAAGAUGAUAGUAUAUGGUGAUUUUUGCCUCUUUCUGUAAUUUUAGCUUGAUUUAUCAAAAUCGAUAUGUUUCUAAGAAAGAAGACGAAGUUUUUCAAGUGAAGUUUUCAGAUCUCAUAUUUAUAAGAUCUUAUAAAUUGGGUCCUUUCAAAUCUUACUGUUGAUCUGUUAGCAAUCAAAAGACACAAAGCUUAACGUAAGAGUACAAUUAUUGAUUUGGUUGAUUUAUUGUCAUAGUUUUCAGAUUUAUAUAAUUAUUUAAUUCAUGAGAAGGUACUAACCUAAGAGUAUAAUUAUUCCAUGAUUACUUCUUCUCUUGGUUGAUUUGGUGAUGUUGCAGAGAAUUAAAAAUGUGUGUUGUCAGCUUUUGGAUUUAAAGGAUGUUGUGGAGAAUAUGUGUGGUGAUAUGCAUAUCUAAGUAUCUCACUUCCUUAAGGUAAUACAAUGCUAUUAUUUGUAGUUUGACUAGCAAUGUUUUAGUAUGUGCAGUAUAUGAGGUGGAACGUUGGUGUUUUGGUAGUGUAACGUUCUAUUUAUACUUUGUGAGAUUUAUUUUUUAUGUCUUGUUUUGUGUAUAAUAUCUACAGAAGCAGUGGAGAUGAAGGAUGAGUUUGUUGAGUUACGAAAGCAUACUAUUUUUGAAUCUUAUUUUGGAAGUGAAUGCUGAUGCGUAGAAAUAAUAUGUGACUGGCUUUUGUUCAGAUUUUGAAAAUUUACGAGGUUGGUGAGCUGUUUGAAGAGGCAAGAGAGACUCUGAAGAAGAAUGUGGUUUGUGCUAUCAAAGAAUUACGUAUUUAUAACGCUUUAUAAAAGUUGCAGAGUUGGCUUCUUAGUACAUUCUUCUCUCUCAUCUUCUUUAGACAUCUCUUAUACUAAAACAAUUGUAUCUCUCUUUUAGUAGUUGCAUAGUUGAAGAUAUUAGUUGGACAUGUAAGUGAGUUUGGUUUCAAUUGUUUCUUUUAUAGAAGAGUGAGAUAUGGAGAAGCCUUGAUGUUCUCAGACUAUGUUAAAGCAAUAUAUCCCUUGUUGAAGGACGUGGCUCUUUCACCAGAUAUGUCUUUUUUGUGUUGAUUAUCUUUUGGAGGGAUUUUAGAAAAAUUACCUUAUAAGCCAUUGUAAAUAAAUUUAUAAACGCUUAUAAAUCACUUUGAGUUUCUUACACUCAUUCUGCCUAGCAUUCCUCACAAGACUUCUCAAGUUCAAACAUUUAUGUGUUUUGUAUAGACAUAUACAAUCAACUCUUCUUUAAAAACUUCUUAAUAAAAACUUAUAAAUCGUCGAGUUGUACUUUUAAUAAUGGACUUAUAAAUAGCUUAUAUGUUCUUGUAAAUAGUUUAAUACACCCUUUUAAAUAGUUUUAUAAACCUGUAUAAAUAGUUAUAUACUUUUGUAAAGAGAUGAUGAUACGUGGCAGAUUGUGAGGCACAUGAGGACAGCAAGCAAGACUCCACCGCUUCAGAAAUUUUACAUACUUUUAUAAAUUAUUUUAUAAUCCUUUAUAAUGGUGUAUAAACUUUAUAAAUUAUUUUUAUAAACCCUUAUAAAUUAUUUACAUACUCUUAUAAACCCUUAUAUAUUAUUAUACAAACCAUUAUAAAUUGUUUUAUAAGGCUUUCAUAAAGUUUUUAUAAACCCUUAUUAAUAGUAUACAUACCUCUUAUAAAUUAUUUAUAAAAUUUCAUAACUUUCUUAUAAACAUUUAUAAAUGAUUUAUAGAUCUUAUAACUUGUUUUAUAUGUCAUUAUUAAUGGUUUAUAUACUCUUACAAAUAAUCUUACAUACCCUUAUAAGGCUUUGUAAAGAGAUGAUGAUACGUGACAGAUUCUAAGGCACAUGUGGACAGCAAGCACGGCUCCACCGCUUCAGAAAUUUUACAUAUCCUUAUAAAUUGUUUUAUUAUAAUCCUUUAUAAUGGUGUAUAAACUUUAUAAAUUAUUUUUAUAAACCCGUAUCCAUUAUUAUACAAACCAUUAUAAAUUAUUUUAUAAGGCUUUCUAAAUGGUUAUAGACUCUUUUAGUUGAUUUAUAAACCUAUACAACUCUUAUAAUAUCCCUUAUAAAUUGAAUAUAAUCUUUCAUAAAGUUUUUAUAAACUCUUAUUAAUAGUAUACAUACCCCUUAUAAAUUAUUUAUAAACUUUCAUAACUUUCUUAUAAACAUUUAUAAAUGGUUUAUAGAUUUUAUAACUUGUUUUAUAUGCAUUUAUUAAUGGUUUAUAAACUCUUACAAAUAAUUUUACAUAUCUUUAUAAGGAUUUGUAAGGAGAUAAUGAUACGUGGCAGGUUCUGAGGUACAUGUGGACAGCAAUCAAGAUUCCACCGCUUCAGAAAUUUUAAAUUCCCUUAUAAAUCAUUUUAUAAUAUUUUAUAAUGGUAUAUAAACUUAAUAAAUUAUUUUUAUAAACCCGUAUACAUUAUUUACAUACCCUUAUAAACCCUUAUAAAUUAUUAUACAAACCAUUAUAAAUUGUUUUAUAAGGCUUUCUAAAUGGUUAUAGACUCUUUUAGUUGAUUUAUAAACCUAUACAACUCUUAUAAUACCUCUUAUAAAUUGAAUAUAAUCUUUCAUACAGUUUUUAUAAACUCUUAUUAAUAGUAUACAUACCCCUUAUAAACUAUUUAUAAACUUUCAUAACUUUCUUAUAAACAUUUAUAAAUGGUUUAUAGAUUUUAUAACUUGUUUUAUAUGCAUUUAUUAAUAGUUUAUAAACUCUUACAAAUAAUUUUACAUAUCCUUAUAAGGCUUUGUAAAGAGAUGAUGAUACAUGGCAGAUUCUGAGGUACAUGUGGACAGCAAUCAAGACUCCACCGCUUCAGAAAUUUUAAAUUCCCAUAUAAAUCAUUUUAUAAUAUUUAUAAUGGUGUAUAAACUUAAUAAAUUAUUUUUAUAAACCCAUAUACAUUAUUUACGUACCCUUAUAAACCCUUAUAAAUUAUUAUACAAACCAUUAUAAAUUAUUUUAUAAGGCUUUCUAAAUGGUUAUAGACUCUUUUAGUUGAUUUAUAAACCUAUGGAACUCAUAUAAUACCCUUAUAAAUUGAAUGUAUGCUUUCAUAACGUUUUUUUAUAAACUUUUAUAAAUUAUUUACAUUCAUCAAUAAUCAUAGAUCUAACCCCAUUGGUUGAUAUGAGAAAGUGAACCAUAGAUCUACCCCCAUUCAUGAAUAAUCUUAUUUGCAUAAGGUUCUCCUGAAAAUUGAAUGUUAUUCUUUCUAGCUAGUUCUACAACACUUCCGCAAGGUGUGAAUUCUCAAUUUCACUAAAUUCCUCCUUACCUAAAAUACAAAAAAUCAUUUUCAACAUAAUUCAUAUUUGAACGUUGGAUGAUCAGUUUGGCUUGUCUGGUAGCUCUGUUGAAGUAUCACAAUACCUCGUAGUUAACUUCAAAAUUGUGCAGAAUUUAUAAACCUUAUAAAUUAUUUAACAAACUUUAUAAACUGUCUUAUAAGCCUUUCUAAAUUGUCUUUAAUUAAUUGAGUUACUUAACACAUCGUUUUCUGCAGCUGAGGUGGAGCCUUCACUUGCGUUAUAUCAUACUUUUUAUCACUGCUAAAAGAAACAGACUCUGCAAUCUAAGACACAAGAAGAAACUAAAAAAUGUCAAUGGUUGGUCAAUAAGACUUUAGAAAAAAAAACAAGAGACAAUGAUGAAUUUGAUGAUUAACAUUGUAGAUCAAAGAAAAUGUGUGAUGGCAGAGUUGUGGCUCUCAUAUAAGCUUGAACAUAUGCUUCUUUUAUGAGUGUCGGGAACUGAACAUGUCAAUUACAUUACUAAAUAACUUCGAUUUAUAAAGAGUUAUAAAUUUUCAAAAACUCAAUGUUCACUAUUAGAAAUCAUUCUCUUAGAUCAGACUAUUAAUAGAUAACUCUUUCUCUUAGAUCAAAACAACAAAAUCCGAAAAAAUACUUACAGGUUGUGAUUCUUGCUGAGGAUUCAACAUUUGAAGUUUUGAGUCUCGAUCUCGAUUGCUUCGUGGAUCUGGACGAAGACGACGAAUCUGGACGAAGACGUCGGUUCAGGACAGAGACGGUGGAUCUGGAGGACAGAGACGGCGAAUAGACGGCGAAUCUGAACGGAGACGGCGGAUCUGAACGGAAAACAGCGGAUCUGAACAGAGACGAUAGACGACGGACGACGGACGGAGAUUCACGAGAGAGAGAGAAAUGAGUUGAAGAUAAGUUAAGGGCAAUAUUGUCUUUUACACAUUAAUGAAUGUUGUAUUUUUGAAAAUGUCUUUUGAUUGAUGGUAAAGUUGAAAAGUGGUAUCAUAAAAGAUGUAUAAGUAAAAUUUUCCCAUUAUUCAAUAUAUAUGUAUUAUUUUAUAAUAGAUAAAAAAUAUAUAAAACCUAAAAUAAUUUAUAUAUCUAAUAUUCAUUCUGCAUCUUCUUUGGUAUUCCAUGACCUCAAACAUGUUUUUAAGAAGAAGGAACCUUUUGCCAGAGUGGUUAUUUUUUAGGGGUUUACUUAUGGGUUCAUUGUUUAACUCGCCCAUAUCACAAGUAACAUCUAAAAGAGUGUUUAUUAUGGGUUUGAGUUGCUUCUCAUUGAUCAAAAGGCAUAAUGAAGUUUAUUUAGUCAUUACUAAUCUAUACAUGUUCAUGAAACACUAUAUAUUAUGUUUGACACGAAUUCUUACAGGCAACAACAAUAAUCAGUGUUCUAAAAUAAGUUAUACGCUAGCUAGGCGGUGAACUACCGUAUAGUGUCUAACUAUAUAUGCGGACAAAUAUUCGGAGUAUAUGCGGUAGGUUUUUACAAAGAGAAAAAUAAUAUAUUUAGUAAUUAAAUUGAUAAAUCCAGUUUUUUAUAAUCAAUGCAGAUAGUUCUUAUUAUUUUCUAAUCUAAGAUAAACGAUACCAUUCUGCUGAAUAUGUACUAAGAUUGAUAUUUUUUUUGUAAAAGCCCGUUGUAAAACAAAAUUAUAUAGUUCUAAUAUUUUGGACAAGAAAAUACAACUCUGGACAAUAUAAUACAACAAUCAUGUCGAGAAAAAAUGAAAAGUUGUACAAACCUUUAUAUAAAUUUUGAAUUCAACGCACACUUUUAAAGUCAUUAGAAACAAUAUUUACUUCAUUUUAUAUUCGUAUAAGUGCAUAUACAAACCACACUGAGUCAAUUUCAUGUUUAGAUUUCUAAGUUUUUAGGUGGCCGUAUACGAACGGUAACAAAUCUCACAAGGACAGUGCAAUUUUACAUUGUGGUUGUAAACGUCCGUCAUCAAUGUUGAGAGCUGAAUGGAAGUCGGUAUGUUGUCCAUAGGAUCAUGACUUCAGAAACAGUCUUGGCCUGCUAAAUCGAUGAUUUUCUUCUCAAUGUCACGGUGGUGUGCACGAUUCAAGUUCAGUUGCACUUCACACUGUCAAUCUUCUGACCUCAACAAUUAAAGUUGAUACAGAUCAGCUGUAUCUAAGAUUCUGUUUUCGAACUAUUUCGCUAACAAAAGGUUAUACACUGCAGGUAUAUGAAGGAAAACAUGACUGAAAAGUAGAAAGAUCUUCUAUUUAUUUACCAUACGGAACCUUAGCAACUUUCUACAAGGCUCGGGUGUUUUUGCAUAAGGUGUUCUUGAUACCUUGUGUUUCCAUGUCCAUUAACUGUAGUCUCUAUUACUCAGUUUUCGAGAAAAAUGAUUGUGUUAAUCCUUUUCACCAUUUAUGAUAGAUGGAGCUCUGAAUGUCUCAUUUACCUUAUGUCUGACUAGAUACUUUUAAGAUAUUCAGAUUACCAUGAGAUUACAUAAGGGUAAUUGGGGGCUAUAACCACAGAAAAAACCAAUAUUCACCAUGUAGCCAUUUAACCUAACGAAUCUAUAGACGCUGUUAGAAAUAUAAAAUAAUACUGUAAUACCCCUAAAAACAACCGGCUCAACCUGAUAGAAAAAUAAUUAAAUAUUUUAAUUAUUCAUCCCACAAAAAUAACUCAGUGUCUCAUCCUUCUUCACUUCUUCUCCUUUUAACUUCUCUGGUAAUUUUGCUGCAGUCAAACGGUCUCCAGCACCGCUUUCAUCCAUCGCUUCCACUCUGCAUGCAAUCAACAUCUUUUCCAGCUCCUCCGUUCUCUGUUUUUAAUCUUCUUCGGCGUUACAGUUCUUGGUUAGGAUUUCAGCGGCGGUAGUAAGAAACCCUUUCUACCCAAUUUCACCCCUUCGAUUCUUCUCCGAUCUCUGAACCCCCCGUAAGUUCUCCUUCUCUCUUGUAGAUUCUCUUCACCGUGUCGUCCUAUGUGUUUAUUUUCUUUCAAUUUGGGGCUCAUCUCAUAAUCAAAGUGUUAUAGUUUCUAAGUCUGUAUCAUCGGCUGAUGUGAAUUCGAUCGUCCCCGAUUCAGAAUUAGUCUCUCCCACUAAGUUCUCUGUGUUGCGAAAUAAGUAGUGUAGUAAUUUAGGGGAAGAUGCAUGGAAUAUCAUUGCUUAGAAAUUCUCAGUCGGUACACAUAGUAUGAUAUUUCGACUCUGAUUUCCAUUUGAAAUGUAAUAGUAUACUUAUCCCAUUCAACUAUUCCACUGAGGAUAUUAUCACUUGCAAUUAUGUUUUGCUUUGCUGCAAUUUGUGGUCGGUUGUGGUUCUCUCUCUGAUGUUCUUAUUCUAAGUUAUGCUUGAAUUGGGGUUUUUGUGGCUGGAGCCGCUGCGAACCUCUAGUCUUCUCUUUUACAUAGGCGAUUCGUCUGAGAUCUGUUGCAAUAUUGUAAGUUCUCAUAUGUCUGGCUUUGAUUAUAUGCUUGCGCUGCUUUUUCCCCCAUUCAAAUAUUGUAGCUCUAGCUUAAUCUAAUUUGUUAAAUCUAACCCAACAGUUCAUUUGCAUGUCGGAUCUAGUAGAGAGAGGUCCCUGAAUUGAUUGAGUGUCUAAGUUCCCCGGUUUGUCGGAUUCUACGAAGUCCUCCGGGAUAAAUUAUGUUUGGAAUCGAAAGGAACAUAUGUGGGGUAGAACUAUAUUGAUUGAUUGUGUCAAAUGGAAUAGCUUAAUAACUAUGUCUGAAAUGGAACAUCUUAUCUUGUAGUUGUCUUAUCGUUCUAUUCCAUGUAGCUAGUCGUCAUGAAGUAUCGUAGUAUAAGUAUACAAAAUUGCUAUUCCAUUUCGUGUAUGUUUCUAUUCCAUACUAUACCGAAAGUAGCUAAACUAUGUAAAAUAUUAUAUCUUAUAUUAUGCUUCGUAUCACUGCUAUUUUUUUCACUGCAUAUUUGGUUUGAUAAACAUACACUACUUACCAUUAAUUUGGCGUUCUGCUUUUGUUCGUCAGGUUUGUCAUGGAUGAGUUGGAGCUUCCAUUCACAUAUUAGAUCGACAUUGUCACUACUGUCUGAGUUCUGGGAGUCUUUUGCGAUCGAAAAACUUCUCCCAAAAUUCUAACCUUCUCUUCUUCCAAAACCGCCAGUGCGCCACCCCAGUUACAGCCGAGGCGGCGAGGAGCAUCACCCCGAACGACAGUGUUAUGGCUCCGUGCAUCCAUCUUCCCAAUCCAAGAUUUGUCACUGAGUGAAGACGAAAUAUGAAAACAUAGUUUAUUAUGCGAUAUAUUAUGUUACUAUACUAUUUCAUCAGGUUCCAUUUCAUUUGACGAUUACUAAAAAGUGCUCUAUUUUGUUUAGAAAUAUAGUUUGUAAUUUCCUUAGGUUCUAACUAUCGUUACAUGUUUUUGAACCUGUAAAAAUUGUACUAUAAUCUAUAUUAUAUAGUGUAAUAUUACAUAAUAUAAUUUAAUAUUACACAUGCACUUUUUAGAUUUUGAUAUUUGGGUUUAGGGUUUAUAUUUGGAUUAAGGUUUAGUGAUUUGAGUUUAGGGUUUAGUAUUUAAAAGGUGAAGGGGUACAGUUAGGGUCAACAUUAACUUCUUACAUGCAAUCGUAUACAUUUCAUAAUUUCACUCAUAUGUACUAUGUUAUUUAUUUUGUUCCAUUCUAUUUGGGUUUAAGAUUUAUAUUUGGGUUUAGAGUUUAUAUUUGUGUUAUGGUUUAGUGAUUAGAGUUUAGAGUUUAGUAUUUCGAAGGUCAGAGGGUAUGGUUGUGGUCAACAUUAUAGACACUUCAAAAUUUAAACAAUAUAUAUAUGUACUGUGCUAUAUCAUUUGUCACAUUUUAUAUUCUAUAGCUCAUGUAAAAUGGAAAUGCAUGUUACUUGGGGGUUUAAUUUAUGAAAGAUUGAGGUUGACAUUGGAUUAGAGUUUAUAUUUCCAUAUAGGGUUUAGUGAUUAAUGGCUAUGGUUUAGUUUAUGGAAGAUUGAAGUUGACAUUGGAUUAGAGUUUAUAUUUUUAUGUAGGGUUUAGUGAUAGUUAAAUUCCUUCGGAUGGACUUACAGUGGUAAUUAGAUGGAAUACAACACUUAUUGGUACACGUUCUAAUUUACACCACUUAUUUAACUCUGCACAGUAAAACAUCUCUAAUAACUCCACCUAUUUGCGUGGCUUCCUCCUAAUCUUUUAUAUGGAAUAGUUGUAAUCCAUUAGUGGUCAUUAACUGUAGGGAAUAAAUCAUCAUCUCUGCACAACGCACACAUCAGCGUCUACAUAAGUGGUUAUUUUGGGUCAUGUGCAUACACCUAUUCUACUUUAUGUAGUUCAUGUGGAAUGGAAAGAAGAUUCUUCGCAUGUAUCUAUUUACGUUCAUAAUAUAUAUUACAUUCCAUCUGACUCAUGUUAAACGGAAAGUUUCGUCUACUGAACUCGGCUUGACUUUCUAUAAACCAUUUCGUAUUUUACUUUCACUAUGCAUCUUAUUACGGUUCUAAAAUUAAGAAUACCAUCACUCCAUUGUAAAUGAACUUACAAUAAACCAUUCCACGUACGUGACAUAGUAUGGAAAGCAAUACAAUCGGAAUAGUAUUUGUCAUCAUUUUCGGAUCGCCGCUGCGUACAACGAUCCUUAUUAUAUGUGAUUGUUACUAUGGCAGAAAAACUCUCCACGUCGUUCACUUUAUAACAACGAACCGGCAACCUGUUAUGGUAAGGGGUAUAACCGGGUAAAAUCAAGCCAAAAAGUCUGAUAAUAAAUUACGUCAAAAUCAUUGUUACUUUCUUCAUUUGUCUUUGAAAUCUGGCUAUACGGCCAAUAAGCCCAUUACAUAAUACACUCUGUUUUAUUGUAUUUCUUUGUUCUAUUACUAAGUAUCCAUGGAUCCUCACCUUCUUUUUUUUUUUUUUUUUUNNNNNNNNNNNNNNNNNNNNNNNNNNNNNNNNNNNNNNNNNNNNNNNNUGGAUCCCCCCCUUCUUUUUUUUUUUUUUUUUUUUUGAUCCUCACCUUCAUGAAUAUACAGAAAUGGAGAAUUAAUCUGUGUAUAUAUAGAUCCUCACCUUCAUGAAUAUACACAGAUUAAUUCUCCAUUUCUGACACCAGCAGGACAGGACCUCCUACCCGAAGGUCAAAAUCCUCUGGUUACACACAAAGCCGGACAGAGAAUAAGAUAAAAUAAUUGCUCUUCACCAAAAGAUACUGUACAAGACAGCCUGAGAUAUAGAAGUAGAACCGUGUUAAUGGAUACCAAGACUUUUUAGGACCAGGGCUUUGCAAAUAAUUACAAAAAAACUGAAACUAUUUCUUUUGGAAAUUGAGUUUGCUCAUGAAGAAGGCAAAAAGAGAAGCCACGACAAUGGGGAAAGCGAUGAGGACAAACGCUACAAGAGCCAACGAGUCAUGUCUGUAACCAAAGUAAUCCACCAGGAAAGCUGAAACUCUCUUCGUCUCACCAAAUGCUAUUAUCUCUUUGUCAACAUCUCCGUACUGCGAAUUCAGUAAGCCUUCCAACACCCAUGAUGUGGGGCUCAAGUAGUACAUCCAUAUCCACCAUUUUGGGAUUUUCUGUGGAAAAAGAUUUACAUUUUUCAUGUUCACAAGUCUGAAACUUGAUUUCAACCCAAGGCACCAUAAUAUCGUUCUUAUAUGAUACAAUUUCAUUCAAUGCAGAAACAUUUUGAGCUACAUAUAAGACCUAAAGAAAUGUCUAUAAGAACACAUACUUCAUAUCUUGGUUAUUUGUGAAAAUGGCAUGAGAGAGAAGGGGGGCUUACCUGUUUCGGAAUGGUAAAGCCAGCAAACAGAUUUACCAUGGAGAAAAAAGUCGUCCGUAGAGUCAAUGCCAUAUGGAUGUUAGGCGUCAAAGCGACCAUAAGCAUGCCACAGUAGUUGAAGACAAGCAACGAGCAAAAAGUGCUGUACCAGCUCCAAAACAUUUUGUAGACUGACAUAUGGUAACCGAUCAUUGGAUAUACGAUUAUAGUACAUAGAAGGGACUGGAGUAAUGAGUAUGGAAUCUCAACAAGGACCUGCAAAGCCAUAUAAGGAUUCAACUCUGGAUGCUAUCCGACAAAAGUAUUGGCAUCUAAUAAUAGGAGUGAAAGCAAGAUCUAUUAACCUGAGAAAAUGAGUAUGCCCAUGAGGAAUACAUCCGAGCAAACCUUUCACGGUAGAAAACGUUGCGUUCGGUUGCAAUGAAGUUCAUCACUGUUGCACAGUUGUUUAUACCCGAGAAGAUUACUAGAGUGUACAUUGAGCCAAAUAUGCUGAAAAGAUCUUGCUGAUUAUUUCUGCAGAGUAAAAAAGAAACACAGACUGAUUAACUUGAAUUUUUGGUGGAGACUCGCAACUCACAAUUAUAUUUCAAAAUAGGGAACAGAGACUUACAUGUCCUUAGCUUUUUGCCAGAAGAGAAGGCCACAUAACGUAGAGUUGAGAAACAUGAAGACUAUGCGAGUGAGAUUGUGAGAAGGGUUUCUCCAAUACGAGCAAUGUUGUUUCCAAAGGCAAGCCUUUAGUUGCCCCCAACCUGUCUGUGAAAAACGCGAAGGAAAGCUCAAAUCUUCUGAUCCCAAAGACGAAGAACUCAGUUUCUCAACCACCAGUUUGUUCUCCCUGCAAGAAAUUACCGAACAAAACAACACUGAGAACAAUAGUUUUUACCGACGGAUGCAAACCAUUAUGAGGAUUGCUGCACAAAGACUCACUUGUACAGAGUUGAAUCCUUGUAUGCUUGUGCAAAAUCCAUUCCAAGUUGUUCCUCUGUAUAUUUACUAGUAAUAUCUAACAUCCAGGUGGCUGGAUUACAGUUCUUUUGGAUCUUUGGAACUCCAGGAAUUCUCUAUUGAUAAAAUAGUUACUCUAAAAAGUUAUUUCGUGAAAAAAAAUAAAAAAAUAGCCUAGGAUGAAAGCAGUCUAGUAUUGUCCAGAAACUGACCUCAAAGUAGUCUAUAACUUUACUUGAAUGUUUUCCAAGAGGGCCAUAGUAGACAAGCUGUCCCCCGUUUUUCAUUAGGAUCAGCUGCAAUUACAGUAAUAAGAAGCUGCAGAGGAAGUUUAGCGUAUGAGGUUAGAGUCAAUUGUGUUUUAGCCGUUUUACCUCAUCAAAUGUCUCGAAGAUAUCUAUGCUCGGCUGGUGGAUCGUGCAAACAACCGUUCUCCCAGUCUCAGCAACAUUUUUCACAGCCCUCAUAACAAUGGCAGCGGCUCUUGCGUCUAGCCCUGUGGUAGGUUCAUCCAUAAAUAUGAUGGAAGGGUUAGCAACAAGCUCCACAGCUAUAGUCAGCCUUUUGCGUUGUUCUGUGGAUAAACCACUAACUCCUGGAAGUCCCACCAUGGAAUAUUUAAUAUCCUCAAGCUCGACUGUCUCAAGAACUUCAUUGACGAGUUCCUGAAGCCACAUCCAGAGUAUAUAUAGUCAGAUUAAAAUGCUGUCUGUGCCUUGUUGUGGACUCUUUUUUGGAGAAUGUGACUACUUACAUUCUUGAUCUUUGAAUCGAUGUUAUAGGGAAGUCGAAGCCAAGCAGAGUAUUUCAAAGACUCUUCCACUGUUAUAUUAGGAGAAUGAAUAUCAAACUGUUCACAGUAACCUGAUACUCGUGCAAAAGUUUCUUGAACCUUAGGAUACCCUCCAACUCGGAUCUCUCCUUUGAUGUCACCACGUGUUUUCCUUCCAGAAAGGACAUCAAGAAGAGUCGUUUUACCAGCUCCACUGACACCCAUCAGAGAUGUGAGAACUCCGGGCUUCAAUGCGCCUGUCACAUCCGAGAGAAGCUGCCGCUUCAUUCCCUAAGAGGGACAUGAGUUACAUGUAAGCUUGUGCUCUGCUUGAGAAAAUAUAAGUAUAAUUUUACCUGAGGAGUCUCAAUCUGAUACUGCACGUUUUGAAAUGUGACAUUGAGGGGCUUGAAAGGCAAGAUGAUUUUUCCUGUCAAAAUGGACCAAAAGAUAUUAAAAUAUAUGUCAGUCAAUGGCUAGUUUUUUUUUUUUUGAAUGAACGGCAAGUUAAAACUGAAGAAGAGGUAUCAGACUACAAGAAAAAGAUACCUGUUUUAGCUCGGGACGGACAGGGCUUAAAAUCUUCGUCUGAGGGCUGAAUAUUCUUCCCAUGAGAGACAAUAGCACGGGAUCUUUGUGGAUCUUAACAUGCAAGAGAUGUUCUUGUCAAAGUUAUAAUUGAAUAACCAGUUAUAAAGUCAUUUGUGAUGAACUUACUAUUCCGAUAUGUCAAAGCCAAUGCGUAGAGGACAUUGAAGAAGAAUAUAAACCCGAUUAAAGCCGCAAAACCUAUCCAAUAAGAGUGCCUUCCGAAAUUCAGUCCACGUACAUCUAACACUUGUUCCCCGGCCGUAGUGUUGCCAGAGAUUAACUAUUGCAAAAGAUGUAGCAGAUCAAGAAAACUAGAGUUGCUAGAAGAAAAAAUGUGAAAGACUUCUGAAGUAUUAUAUUUACCUUUCUCCACCGUGGAGCGUAAAAUUCAUUUGCAGUUAGACCAAUCUCAGCAUAUGACAAUGGAGAAAUCCAAAAUCCCCAUUCCAGCCAAGCAGGCAUGGACGCUGAAAUAUACAACCCCUUUUUUUGGUUAACUAAUCCUCACAAAGUGCAUGGUUAUAAUCACCACUGAAACUUACAUUUUGGAAUAACGAAGCCUCCGAAUGAUGAGAGAAACAAUACAGAGAUAGCUCCGAUGAUUGAGGAAGCAACAAACGUGCGAAAGAUUGCUGCUAUGGCGCGAAACAUUGAUACACACGAAAUGUUGAAUGUAAAUAAGAUAAGGAACUGUCGAAAGAACCUGAAGGAAAGUAACACUUACUGUUAGAAGCAGUUUUACUCGAACUGAGUUUUGGAUUUAGUUUUAAAAAAACUAAAAUAAAGUUACCUACCUUCCGACUUCGGGGCUGUAACCAAUGGCAUAAUAUGUGAGUAAUGUCCAAAGGAACGAGUCAAAAACCGAAAGAGGUAUCUUUAAGAAAAUUGAAGGGAUUGCAUAUGCCCAAGCAGGAUAGAAGUAUAAAUCUUUUUGUUUGCAGAACACUCCCAUUCUAGAGAGAGUCAAAGUGAGCUCUGGAAGCCCAUCAGCAAGAAGUCUAAACAGAGCAGUGAAGAGAGAACCCAUAAGAUAGUUCCCAUGACGAGCAUCCGUCGUAGCUCCAGCUUGUAGAAAAACGGUCAUUGUUACUAGCGCAUUGAAAACUAACUGCAGAAAAAAAAGGGGGUUGAGCAUAGAAUGGUAAAUAAUGAUGGAACCUUCUUUAGAGAGUAGAAGGAAGGUUACCAGUCCAGAUUUGAACAAGUAAAUGAAAGAGUUGCGUUUCAUCAAAAGAUACUCUCUCCUCGAGCAAGCUUUAAGCAUCUCCCAUUUACCCAAUGAGUAUUUUCUAAAACAUAAACCAUCCUUGCGAGACUGAGACUUUUGAAACGGCUUGGAGAGUUCUUCCUUUACCAGAACCCCAAGAUUUGAUUCUUGAAACUUGUCGAUGAAUGAAUCAACAGAUAUAUAACUGUAGGGCUUGUCUCUCAGGCACCAAUAUUGUUCUUGAUCUUUUUUAGACAUAACCUGUUGCAGCAGAAUCAUGUAAAUGGUUAAGGUUCUCCACCAGAUAUGGUCUAUUUUAGUCCCAUACCUCUUGGAGGAAGUCAGCAACGCCUUUCCUCUCUGGACACUUAAAUCCAAAAUCUUCAAAGAAUCUGCAGAUAUCAGCUCGAGGAGCAUGGUAAAUUAUCUUUCCUUCGCCCAUCAGAAUCACAUCGUCGAAAAGCUCAAACGUUUCUGGUGCAGGCUGAAGAAGUGAAACCAAUAUGGUGGCUCCAGCUAUAUGCGCCAACUGCUGGAGACAUGACACUAUCUGGAACGUAGUUGAGCUGUCCAAACCAUUCGAUAUUUCAUCCAUGAACAGAGUCGUAGCUGGACCCACAACCAGUUCUCCUAGUAGCCGCGACAUAGAUAUUUUAAUAGCUCUGUUCAGACGACUGUGAAUGGCUGUAGGAAAAGGAAAUUACCUGUUGUCAACCUCCUCUUUUGGCCACCAGAUAUUCCAGGCCUCGAGGCAUCUCCAACUCGUGUAUCUGCACAGAUAUCGAGUCCCAGGAUCUGAAAGAUUGAUUCGUGAGAUCAUGUUAACUGUGGAAUAGGGAUAAAUGGUCAGAAACUUAAGUAAGCAGCAUACCUUUAAGAUAUAGUCAGUUUGCAUAUUGUUUUUCAAACCUAUAACAGAUAUUGCCUGUCACAGUAAAGAUAAAAGAGCAAAUUGAGAUCUCUUUACGUUUUCAAAGUGUUUCAAGAAGAAUUGCAAUCUUUCAUUAGAUACCUUCAUGUAAGCAUCUAUAUCAGGAUCUGGAACAAUUUCUCGGACUUUCUCCCUUCUACUGAUCUCCUUCAUAAUUUCUGUUGAAUCAACCAUGGCUUGUUAAUGUAAAAACUGAGUCCAGCGAAUUAGGAAAAAUAUUAGAAAUUUGGUCCACACCCAUUCGGCUUCCGAUGCCCUGGCAACACGCAGAGAAGUCGAGCGUCUCUCUCACACUCAUCUCUGGAAUAUGCAGAUCGUUUUGACUUAUAUAACUCGACGUUUUCUCUGGAAUAAACUCUGAAAGUAAGCAACCAUUGUAACUUACUUCUCCUCCAACCUGUAAAGUGAAGACAACCACUUGUGAUCUCUGAUAACACUAUAAGAGGUUUUGUUCAGAAGGCUUAUGCAUUUACUUCUUUAGUCACACCUUUACUGAAGGGGCAAGUCGUCCAGAAAGUGCCUGUAACAGAGUGGUUUUGCCACAACCAGGAGGACCGAGCAACAAUGUCAUUCUGAGAGCAAGACCAAUCCAUCUUUUAACUCGGUGAUAAAAAUAUUUUUACAGGAAAAGAAGCACUACACAAGAUAGCCAAUCACCCUUCAUUUCUUAUUCCUUGCAACAUAAGUUAUUAGGAAACUGCCUCUUGAAUAAAUUUACCUUCCAGGCCUUACGAUACCGCUCAAGCCUUUUAAGAUGCUUAUCUUGGUUUCUUUCUUUGAACAGAUGAACUCCUGUAAACAACCAUCAAGUGUUUUUGAAUUAGCCACACAGAGAAACAACCUUCCGUAAAGAACAUGGAAACGGCAACAGCCCUCCAUUUCCAGAUCGAUGUAGCAAACACAUUUAAUGUUACUUACAGAUAGUAUGCCUUUGACACUAUUCCAAAGAGUGGGGAUAGGCUUUCCAUGAACUACCUCACAUUCCGCUUCAACAGAAAGGUCACUGAACCUCACUUCCACCGUUGGUAACUCUAUACCAACCCUACAGGUACAACGGAUUAAAAGGUUGUGAUAAAAACACAUUAACAUAAACAGAUAACUAUAACAUGGCUUACUCAUCGAUUCUCUUCCUUAUCUUUCUGAGUAAAUGGAGGUUAUCAGCCUGGAUUUGUUUGACAAGCUUUUCAAUCAGCAAAUGUCUCUCAGCAGCCUCAAGUUUAGUAACAUCAAUGACUCUCCCUUUAUCCGAAGAUUCAUCUCUUCUCUGAAACAGAGCAGUAGUAAUCCUUUUAUACGUAGGUUAUACGUAGGUAAUCUCUCAACUGUAGCCCACUGCGACCGAAGCUCCUCCUUGUCAUCGCCAGAAGCAAACUCAGCUUGUAAAGACUGUGCCUUUUCAUCAUCAUCUGCACCUGUUUGAGCCAUUGUCAAGUAAAAGAUACUUAAAAAACAAGGACAAGCAAAUUUCAGGAUGAAGAAGAAGCUGCUAAUAGUCAAAAUCUUUGAAUAUAUAUAUAACUUUAACAAAACUCACGUAUACAUUACUCGAGCUGCACGUGUGAAUACGUGAUCUCAUCCAUAGAAUCCGGUCUUGUACAGAGAAAUAAAAAACUGCACAAAAGAAAUGAAUAAACUAAUAAAAGUCUGCUAAGCGUUGAAAACUCUGAUUAAAAGUAAAGAAAAUGGAAUCAAAAUAAGAUCUUUUCACCAAUAGUCAACUCAUUAAUAGUGUGCGAACAGAUUCAGGGUAUUCAUACUUCCAUACAGCUCACUGGGUUUCUCUGAGGCAUUCCAUCGAACACAUUGCCCACGUUUGUUUGAAUCAAUGAUACGACUUAGUAGGAAACUUCUAUUUCCCAAGAUUUCUUCAAAGUAAUAGUUUUUGCUGAUCGAGUCGAAUCAAAUCUGCUGUCAGAGACACGAAUUGAAGAUGAGUGAAAACAAAAAAGAAAACACAUGCAAAUUUCUUUAACAUCACGUCCUCUCUACAGAGAUCAUCAUUAUUACAAAAUAAUUAAGGUUCAUGUCAGAGAUUAAUGAGAUAGGUUUUAAUUGUAAUUCAACGAGAGAAACUAUUACCUUGCAUUGCAAGGAACAGUUGAAUCAUUGGCCAACGCCCUCUGUUAUUCCCCAGACCCUGACAUUAUCAAUAUUCGUGAUGCCUACAUUAACUUUACAACUGAUUUCUUUUGUUUUUUUUUCUCUUGAAAACAUGAAAUUUUCUUUUAGUGCUUGCUACCUUUUAUACACAAGUCCAAUUAGAAGAGCUCUAAGCUUGAAAUGAAAAAAAAAAAAAAUCUAGUNNNNNNNNNNNNNNNNNNNNNNNNNNNNNNNNNNNNNNNNNNNNNAUUAGAAGAGCUCUAAGCUUGAAAUGAAAAAAAAAAAAAAAUCUAGCUUAUUUAGCAGAUCUAGCAAAACAAAAUUGGUUCAAGCGGUAUAAAGUUGGCAGCUCAAAUACUCUCCCAAUUUUUUCUUUUUUACUAGUAUUACCUCCUGUGCUUUCGCACAGGUCAAUCAUUUUUACUAUUCCAAAAAUUUUGAUCAUAAAACUAUAAUGAUUAUCAUCAUAUCAAAAUAAAUUACUAUUUUAAUCCCAUAUUUUUUUUUUUCAAAUCAAAGUCACCUAAACUUGCACAUUGUAUAAAAAUAUAGAUUUCACAUUUGCACAUAAACUUAGCACAAUUUAUAAAAGUACAGAUUUCAUAGAACAUGUUUAAUAUCAAAUGUAUGUUAACUGUGAUUAAAAUCUCUAAAAUGAAUAUACCUGCACACACGUUUUCAUAUCCAUUUUAUAUAUAUCUGCAAAAAAUUUCAUAGGUAGAUUAGUAGAGUUAACAAACUUUAAAAUAGUUUAUACAUAAAUACUUAGUACUCCCUACCGAGCUUCACAUAUAUGACAUAAUAGAAAUAGGAAUAUGUUCUCCCUACCGAGCUUCACAUAUAUGACAUAAUAGAAUUUAGAGAAAAUUACUAGAAUGUUACACAUUUUAUGGUUUAUUACUAGAAUGUUGUAUAUCUUUGUUUUAUUACUAGAAUGUUUUCUCUUUCCUAGUAAUUUACAAUAAGGGGCUUUUGUUAUGUUUUAUUUUCUGAAACUAAUUUUAAAGAUCAAAGCCACAUCAGUUAUUUAAAAUCCACAUCACAUCAGUUAUUUUUUGAAACCAAACCGUCUCUAUCACUAUCACUAUCACUAUCAUACAUACGGUUUUGUAAAAAAAAAAGAAAAGAAAAGAACACGAAGAACUGUGUUGUGUCGAAGAAGGAACCGCAAACCGAAAUCGUCUCACCCUUCGAAACCCUCGUCGACAUUGUUCUUUACUUCUUCGAACUCUCUCUAACUCUCUGUCGUUGAACUCUCUAUAACUCUCUGUCGUUGAACUCUGUCUCGUCGGAGUUUUUAGAAACCGUCGUCUGUACGAAAUCGCCUUCACCGCAUUCUCAUCAACGAGUUCAUCUUUUCCGGUAAGAUGUCGCGACGUUAUAUAUUGUAUUUUGGUUGAGUUUGUGGGUCAGUUAUAUAUUGAGGCUGUGAUAUGGGUGUGUCGAGGUUUUUGUUGCGACUGAGUUAGGGUUAUGUUGACUGUGCUAUGGGUUUGUCGAGGAUUUUGUUGUGUCUGAGUUAGGAUUAUGUUGCGGCUGAGAUAUGUGAUUGUCUAGGCUUUUGUUGUGUCUGAAUUAGGGCUUUUUGUUGUGGCUGAGUUAUGGUUAUGUUAUAACUGAGUAAUUAUUAUGUUAUGGCUGAGUUAUGGUUAUGUUAUAACUGAGUAAUUAUUAUGUUAUGGCUGAGUUAUAUAUAUGACCUAAUAUAUUUUAAUAUUAUGAUAUGGCUGUGUUAUUUUUAUGUUGUGGCUGAUUUAUUGUUGUGUUAUAUGAUCAGAUGGAUGUUAGUCAAGUCGAACCACGUGAUUACCCUCCAAGACUUUACCCUUCUAACCUAGAAGGUAAAGAUAUCAAUCAUAAUUUCCGUGCAGGAUAUUUCCCCCACAUUAAAGAAACAGUAGGACUCGAUGUGUGGGAAGAACUGGUGAACUCUCCCAUUGGAGUAGUUGCUAGGCUACUUUCACGCGAAAGCAUUUGGUCUGGUAGGACCGUACACUAUCUGCUAUGUAGACAGCUGCGAGUGCAUAAAAAGGAGAUAUGGUCUGUUGUGGUUGAUGAUGUUAUCAAAGGACCGUACACUAUCUGCUAUGUAGACAGCUGCGAGUGCAUAAAAAGGAGAUAUGGUCUGUUGUGGCUGAUGAUGUUAUCAGGUUUAGCUUGCUCGAGUUUGGUGAGAUCACUGGGUUAAACACAGGUCCAUUGCCAACAGAAAGUUUUGAACCUGAUCAAUACAAAGAGUUUUGGGAGGAGUUGAAGGUGCCGCUUGGGAUGGGACCCAAGUAUGAUGAGCUGAAGGCAGCAUUAGAGUUCUGUCCUGGUUGGAGUUUUGAAAAGCGUAAGUGGUUGGGGAUGUUAUUUCUUCAAGCCAUGGGACUGUACUGUUUGCAUCACAAUUCAAGGAUACCCUUUCAAAGUGCAAUAAGGGUAUUCGACGAUGAAGCCAUGAGGUCGUAUCCAUGGGGUCGGACUGCAUACGAAGUUCUUGUUGACUCUCUGAAAACACUGUCUCCAGAUGGAAAGUCAUACACAGUAAGCGGCAUGAAGGAUGGGGUCGGACUGCAUUCGAAGUUCUUGUUGACUCUCUGAAAACACUGUCUCCAGAUGGAAAGUCAUACACAGUAAGCGGCAUGAAGGACGUUUUAUUGGUUUGGGCGUAUGAGUCCAUCGUCUGUUUCGGUGAGAAGUUUGGGAGAGUGGUCAACAAUGAAGACGUUCCUCUUUUGCGAUGGGGUGGAAGGCGUACACGUUCAAGUUUUGAUACUGUCUUGUCUGACGAAAUCAAAGAUCAUGGCGAGGUAAUGUUUAACUGCUACUUAUACGACUGAGUUAACAGCUACUUAAUGGUUGAGUUUAUUUUAUAUUGUUGCCGAAUUAGUCUAUUUGAUGGCUGAGUUUAUUUUAUAUUGUGACCGAAUUAAUUUAUUUGAUGGCUUGGUUUUGUGUUAUUUGAUGGCUGAGUUUAUGAUAAACUGGUGUUACAGGUCCGUUUGAGGAGAAUGGUUAUGAAGGAGUCAAUUGAAGAGAUGUUUCCUGUAUGGUCGGAUGAACCUGACGACCCACAACUCGUUAGGUUGGUAGAAGACAUACACGCAGGUAGAUACGUGAAAGGUUUCUGGGAAGUACAGAGGGAUGAGCAGGGGAAGGGGAAUGAGAAGAAGAAGAAGAAGAAAACGAAGGGAGUUUCAUCAGAAGCUGAGCCAUCAACAAAGAAGCAGAAGAAAGAAGCUGCUGAAACGAGAAAGGGUUCUAGCGAGGAGGAAGCUGUAUUGGACAAAGCGACUCUGACGAAUCUUGUGAGUGCUCUGCAGAAUAUUUCAGCAAAAUUUGACGCUUACGAUUUUGACCGGAACCGGCCAGUGAUGGACGAGAAGACCCUAGAUAACGUGGUGAAAGCUGUAGUGCAGCAGAGUCUGAAAGUUUUGGGGGAAAGGAAAAUUCCCGACAACGAUGCUAAACUCUCCUCCGCCGGCGUAGAAAAAUCUUUAUCGGUGACAUCAUCACCUCGUAGGAGGUCGCCACCGGAAAAGUCGGACAAAAGUCCAGUGGUAGAACCGCAGGCCCAGGAGGAGAAGUCUGUAAAAACUCCAGUGACAGAACCGCGGCAGCAGAAAAAGCCUGUCAAAAGUCCAGAGCCGCCGCAGCAGAAAGAGAAGGCUGUCAAAAGUCCAGUGCCGCCGCAGCGGAAGGAGAAGGCUGUCAAAAGUCCGGUGCCGGCGCAGCAGAAACAGCAGAAGUCAGUCAAAAGUCCAGCGUUAGCUGAGACCCUUGCAAAGAAGAAUGCGGAGCUUGAGAAGGAUACAGUGGUGAGAAGGAUUUUGGGUGAUGAUUUUAAUGAAACUGAUUUCAUCAGUGUUUCUCCUGCAAAGAUUACUAAGGAUGCUAAGGAUGGUAAGGAUGCCAACGUUCCAGCCUAUGGACGCGGCUUACGGGGCAAGGCCAAGCGUACUGUUACUGUAAAGGAUGAGGCUAUCGAGGAUAAGAAAAAAGCACAGCGGGCAGAGGCUGCGUUGAAGAGGAAGGAGAAGCAAGAGGCUAAGAAAAAAGAGAACGAGGAGAAGAAACAGAAGAGAAAAUCGGCUGAGUUACAAAAGAAACAAGAGGCUGGGUUACAGAAGAAAAAGAAGGAAGACGAGGCUGAGUUGCAGAAAAAAAAGAAGGAAAAAGAGGCUGAGUUACCGAAGAAGAAGAAAGAAGAAGAGGAAUGUGUUGUGACGAACGACGAAGUUAUUGCGGAAGAUAACGCAUUGGCGCCGGAGUCUGAUGUCGAGCCAGCUGAAUUGAUUAGAUCUUCCGUGGUAAAGGAACUUCGGGAGAAAUCAGUUAAGUUAUCUCCACAAGGGUUUUCAUUGACGAACCUUGAUUCAGCACCAGUUUUUCCGUACAUUGGAGACAAUGGACAGACGACUUGCAUGAGGAAGAACAUUACGCCUUCAUCAGCAAUAUACGACCCUUGCGCACCUGUUGAUCCGGCGCGACUGGAAAAACUGAAGCAACACAUUAAGGCAAUUCCACCCAAACCACCAGCACCUAAAGAUAAACCAGAAGAACCCUCAGCUGAUCAUGAGAGUGACUUCUACAGCAUACUCAUGCAUGAAAGACCGUGGCCUGACAAAGAAUAUGGAUGGGUGUUUGAUAAUGUAAGUCUUUAUUAAGGCUGAAUUAUAUAUUCUAUAAAGGCUGACUUAUAUAUUUAAUUCAUUAUAUUACGGCUGACUUAUUAUUUUUCUUUGUCUAGCAUAUCGCUGCGUAUAUGAACGUCCUCAUACAAAGGUCCAUGCGAAAUCCCACUCUAUUCUGGUCCAAGCGGAUUGGUUUCGUAGACCCUUGGUUGUUAGGUUUUUGGGCUUACAAUUACAGGCAGUUCAGGAUGAACCCUGCUUCGUUCAAGUUCAAAGGCAGUGGUUAUGAAAAGUUGGUAAACAGGAGAUUACCCGAAGAAUUUACAACAAACUUGAAGUGGUAUGCAGAUGUGGAUCACGUGUACGGAUGUCUUCAAACCGGCGGUAAUCACUGGGUGGCGUUUCACGUGGAUCUGAUCAAGGAGAAGAUAGAUUGCUACGAUCCAAUCUAUGGAGAGUCAACACCCGAAAGUGAGCAAAAAAUGCUAAAUGCUUUUAGACCUCUACUGGAGAUGCUUCCCUGGAUGUUGAAUGAGCUUAUUCCUGCCGAUCUCCGAAAGCAUUCUAGGAAGAGGUUCGCAUUCAGACGGAGGAGCAAAAGAUACAUUCCACAAAACAACAUCAUAGGUGAUUGUGGGGUUUAUUCGUUGAAGUUUGUGGAGUGUCUAGCGCUUGGUGUAUGUUUUGAUGGCAUAAACGAUAGUAAUAUUCAAGGGUUACGGGUGAAGAUGGCAGCAGAUAUCCUCGAGGAAGGAGGAAAUCUUGGAAUGAACAAGUUGUUGUCAAAAUGAAACUGUGUUUGUUUGUGAACCUGUGUUUGUUGUUAUGUUAACUAUUUGACUUUGGAUAACUGCUGUAAUAACUCAGUCAUAUCGAUUAGUAAUACUCAGCCAGUACUUAUUGAUAACUCAGUCAUACCUCAAACAUACCCUAGAAUCAAAAUAAUUAAUAAUUUUCCAUUCGAAUGUUAUAUAUAAAGUCCAAUUAUCAAAAUAAUUAAUAAUAACUCAAUGUGUGAAUAUGAUCUUUGUUGACUAUACGAGUUUGGAAUCGAUCAUAAUCUUGAGGUAUAUGUUGUCUCUUACGAGUACCUAAAACUCUAGGCAGUGAUAUGAGGUGUGAGCAUGAUUCAAAACACGUAAACUGUUAUUGUGUUAUUUAUUAUGAAUUUGUGAUAUUUAUCAUAUCUUGUGGUUCGUACAUCAUAAAUCAUAACCCUAAACAAUCUUAUUCGGAACCCAAACCCUAAAUAACUAAACCCUAUACCCUAAACGGCAAACAACAAAUCAGCCGUAAAGGUCUUAAUAACUCAGUCUGUUAGUGUAAGUUAAUAUUUACAUAUGGCGCGUAAAUUUUAGAUAUUUUAUCUCGCGACCUUUAAUGUUCUAUACUUCCCCUAUAUAUAGCCCCCUUCUCUUGCACUUUCUCGCCUUAUCUCACUAGAAAACCUAAACAAUAUCUCUAUAUCGCCUUACAAAGUUAUGAUUGUUCCUGGUUAUUCAGAAAGGUUAGAGAACAGAGUCAAUGAGAUACUAAACUCUGAAAAUCGUGAAAACCUUCCCGUUCUAUACCCUGGCCCGGGUUUCUUGCUUGACAGCGUAAUCUGGUUUAAAUUUCUAAGCGAUCUCUCCCUGGCCAUCCCGUCGAUUUUAGCAGAAGGAUGGGUUCAUGAUUGGCCGACAUGGCGCGCCAUUCCCGAUCAUUUUAAGGAACGCUGGUUUCUUCAUCUCGCUGUAAGGACAACAUGUUUGAAUUGUUUUUGAUAUUAGACAUAAUAACAGCACUUACAUUUGGAAAUUGGUUUUUUGUUGUAGCGCAAACGCACGUGGGCACGAAGAUAUAAUUUUCAAGUUUGGACAAAUUUUAAUCUGGUGGCCAGAACGGUGUUUCGUUGUCAGAUGCGCCUCUUGAAGAGGAGGUGGGCACAUGGGGGUGAGAAGCCUGCGUGGAUGCUAACUAGAGUUUGGCGUGAUCUUGUCCACAUGUUUGAAGAAUUUGGUCCUGAUAAUUUUGGUUUUAGUAAUUGAUUUGUUGUUUUUGUUUGUAUUCAGCCGUCAAGUUUUUGUAAAGUUGUUUAACUCAGCCGUUAAGUUUCUAUAAAGUUGUUUAACUCAGCCAUUAAGUUUCUAUUAAGUUGUUUAACUCAGCCGUUUAGUUUCUAUAAAGUUGUUUAACUCAGCCGUUAAGGUUUUAUAAAGUUGUUUAACUCAGCCGGAAUUGUUUGCGUCAAACGUCAGUGUUUCAGUUAAGUAACUCAGCCGUAAUACGAAUUAAGAUACUAAUAACUCAGCCUUAUAUUGUAAAAAUACAAAGCCAAAGUUAACGCUAUUUUCCAUGUAUUAUUAUAGCCGCCAUUACUUAAUCGAGACCAGUAUUAGAGUCCUUUAUUCUCUUAUUAUUAUACGUGCGAGAAAUUCCAUCGUCAUUGAGAAUAUCGAGACUCAUUAUUAUGGCCGUCAUUACAUUAUCGAGCCCUACGCAUCUCUGCUAACGCCUUCAUCGACCUGGACGAUGCUCUGAGGCGGUAGAGAUCUUGGAAGGAGUUACGGGCCACACGCUCAACCACCAUUGCCUGAAGAUCUUCAGGCAAUUCAAGCAGAGGGAAAUAUUCCAUUUUCUCUGAGAGGACAGUUGUGUAAAAGAUAGAGAGUUGAAGAUGUGUAAUUGUUUGAGAAGUACCUUAUUUAUCUGCAGUUAACGGUUGUAGUUUCGUAUCGCGGCGUUUCUUAUUUCUUAUUUUGAGCGGGAAUUUAAUCCAUAACUCAGCCGUGUAUUACAAUAACUCAGCCUUAAUUGACUUCGCGACGUUUCGUGUUUCUAGCGGGGAAGUUUUUUUCAACUGCGUUUGAAUAAAAGAGCUGACAUUAGAAAUCACGACAAUUAUUAGGCGUGUGAGUAACAUUAUCUCAGCCAAUGAAGAUUAAUUUCUCUUAAUUUAAUUCGCUACUUUCGUAUUCCACUUUAUAAUCAAUAAUUACGUAGGGGCUAUUACGUAACGUAGGGCAAUUAAGUACGGACAUUUCGUUUUUCGAUGUCUGUGUCUCUCUUGAGUAAUGGGAAGCGGGCAAAUCAAUGAAAAUAAAAACCCAACCACAAUACAAAAAACCCCAGCCGUUACAAAUAAUAAACCAGCCGUUGUGCAAAUCAAUGAAAAUAAAACCCAGCCGUAUUACAACACAAAACCCAGCCGUAUUACAACACAAAACCCAGCCGUAUUUCAAAACAACAUGAAAAGCAAUUGCUUAUGUCGGACAAGUUCUCGCAUUAUGUCCACUUUGACUGCAACGAGAACAUAUGUGCUCUUUCCUAGGACGUUUGUUUGCAAGUGCAACUUCUAAAGCAGAUUUCAUCCUAUUUUUUUUAGGUCUUCCCGGUUGUUGACGAAUAAACGGUGGAAAGCACUGUACGUUAGCCACGUUAUCUGGAACAGGUAGCGCUGAAUCAACCGGCAUGACCGAUUCAGCGUAUGCGCUAGCUAAAUAAGUGCUUUUAUAGUAAGGACUGCACAGUGAUAUUCGAGAAACAUUUCUUUCCUCUGCAGCUGCGAUUGCGUGUACACAUGGUAUUUUCUCGACAUCGAAACGCCGACAUGUGCACUUUCGCUCAACCAAAUUAACAACAUUCAAAGACUCGCCAGCAGCGCCAUAUUUAACUUCAGUGUGAUGGUCAUCAAUCCUUUGAACCGUCCAAUCCCGGGAGGCACUUACACGUCCCUAUUAACAAAACCCAAUAUUCGUGAAACGGCUUACUUAUUAUUUAUAAAGCUGGCUUAUGCAAUAUAACGACUGACUUAUUAGAUUUAAAGACUGACUUAUUUUACUGUUACGACUGACUUACUUGUAAUAGUUUCUCCACACCGCGCGUGAGUGUGGUUGACUGCGAUCUGGCAUCCACUCUUCGUUCAGCAAACCAUCUGGUCAUCAUAACCCGUAUCGAUUCCAAUAUUCGAACAAUGUUAAGACCUCUAGCAUGCGAUAAUGCUCUGUUCAUUGAUUCCGCUAUGUUCGUAGUCAUCAAAUUGUACCUCUCGCCCGGGAAAUAAACACGUGUCCACAGUCUGACAUCAGCUCUUUCGAGGUAGCCGUGGAGAUCAGGAUUAAGUGCUUCAAUCUCCUCGAAAAUCAUAUCAAAGUCAGACAUUCUAAAACAUCUCGCCGCUUUCUUCACCAGCCGAAAUACAUCUUUUCCUUUGUACCGUCCCAAUAUGUUUUUAUACAAAUGAUAGGUGCAUAUUCCACGAGCAGCUAACGGAUACACAUUUGUAAUUGCUUUCCCUAUCGAGUUAUGCCUAUCUGAUAUUAUCGCAAGACCCUCCUGGUCAGGAAUCAACACUUUUAGUUGCGUAAAAAACCAAUUCCACGAAUCAUCAUUUUCAGUGUCAACCACUGCGAAGGCUAUUGGAAAAAUCUGAAAGUUACCAUCCUGAGCUAGUGCUGUGAGUAGCGUCCCUUUAUAUUUACCAUUAAGAAACGUACCGUCGACGACAACAACUUUGCGCAUGAAAGGAAACCCAUUAACGCUCGCACCAAACGCAAGAAACACAUACAUGAAUCUUCCAAGCUCAUCGAUUUGAAGACGCGUAACUGUAUUCGGAUUUGCCCUUCUUAUCAUGUAUAAGUAAGAAGGCAAGAGUUCAAAACCACACUCAGGUGUGCCCUCAUCGAUUUCCCUUGCACAUUUAAGCGUCCGGUGUGAUUUCCAAUAUUCCAUCUGCUCACAUGAAAAAACAAUUUACAUAACUCAGCCACAUCAUAUCAUUAAGACGGUCACAACGUAAACAUAACUCAACCAUAGUUUUGUAACUCAGCCAUUUCUAACAUAAAAUAACCCAGCCUAUACUCUACCAUAACUCAGCCGUUGUAACAUAAUUACCUUUACACCAAACUGCUUAGUGAUAGCUAUUCCGACACUCUCAGGGCGAACGGCCGGACCAACGUCGCCGAGAAAGUUCUUGUACAACUCUCCUAAAAUAUCCGGUGUUGCAUUUCGAGAUCGAUUAGAACGCUCAGUUACAGAACAUGCAUGAUCCGAGUCGUAAAUACGAAUAUAAAACUGCGGGGACAAUCCUUCGGUAGAUGCACGAACUCUCCAUGUACAUCCAUCAACCCAACACUUAACAACGUAUGUUGUCAGGUUUGAUAUUUCUACAUCAAAAUCAAAUUGAUGCCUCACUGUAAAAAGUUUCAGUCGUCUCUUCAAAUGCUUUUUAGUCAAGUAUCGUUGUCCUACCGCAAGGUCUAACGACGACAUCUCCAACUUCAAAACCUCCAGAUUCCCUUUAGAUUCGCUCAUCAAGAAGUUCUGAUAUCUCUUCUUGGAAGGUAGCGUUGGUGAAUCUUCGUCUUCUUCGAUAGGAGACUCACCGUAUGUGCUGAAGUUAUCAUCUUCAGAUGACGCACCGUCCGAGUCAUCGAACAUAUCAAAUCGACUUUCAAAUUCAUCAUCUUCUUCGUUUUCUUUGCCUAUUUCAUCUUCUCCGGCUACGUCGUGUAUUUCAACGUUACUAAAGCAGUCAUUCUCAAUUUCAUCUUGUUCAUCCUCCAAACUGCAACCAUCGUAACUCCCAUUCUCUAUAGACUCAACUUCUAAAGCUUCUUCUUCUAAAGCUUCUUCUUCUGAAGCGUCUUCUUCUGAAGCUUCUUCUUCUGAAGCUUCUUCUUCUGAAGCUUCUACGUCUGAGCUGUCAUCCUUUUUCUCUGUAAUCUCCACACAGAGACGUAGUUGUUCGCUUUUCUUUAAGCUUAGAAAACAUUGCAAUUGUCGAGUGUUGGACACGUAAACUGGUGGAGUGUUGUGCGCCAUUGUUUUCAAUGUUUUAUUCGAAAACAUGUAGCUAAGCAGAAUAUGAACCUUCAAAUCAUUCAAACCGUAAUCGUCGAUGACAGACUUUGUGAAAUCUUCAAGUUUAGUUUUCUCACCUAAAUGAAGAACUCUACACCCUCUACUGUCGACGUUGAAUACAUAUCGUUUUUUCAUAAUCCAUUUACCGGAAACAAUAAUAACGGGAUCCAUUACCAUAUGAGAAAGAUGAAGAGGAUAGAUAACUGAGAUGAUGAAGAAGAAAAGAAAGGCUGUGUAAUCAUUCAAAAAUAAGAUGAAGAAGACAACUGAAAGGUCUCGUAACUCAGUUGUAAAUUGGGCGACCGUUAGUGAUGACAUGUCAAAUCCGAGUUGAUGACAUGGCAGAUGACAUGGAACAUCGGUUAAUCAGCCGACAAACAAAUCAGUAACUCAGCCAAAAUAAGUCAGCCAUCAUGUUUACACUUUGUCAGCCGAUACAUGGAAACAUUCUAGUAAUUAAUCUUUUGACGGUAAGUCAGCCGCAAUAAGGAUGAACAACCAUAUGUCAGCCGUAUCGUUACGUAAAUCAGCCAUCAAACGAGAACAUUCUAGUAAUUAAUCUUUCGCUCAUACGUCAGCCGCAAAGCAGCUGAGUUUACUGUUUAUCCAUGCUUUAACGGCUGACUAAUACAAACCCAGUCGUAACAGCAUCCCAUAACUCAGCCGUGGCUUCAAUAACCCAGCCCAUCCAUGUUCCUUUACUCAGCUGAAAAAAAGUUUCUCAGCCGUUUCUUAACCACGACUCAGCCAAAUUUUCCAGAAAUCAAACCGCCGAUGUAUAAGUCAGCCGUCAUUUGUAUCAUUAAGUCAGCCGUGGUCACAUAACUCAGCCGGAUUUCUGUAAAUCAGUUGUAUCGGCAAGCUGACUUAUAGUUCUAAGUCAGCCACUUUCACUUAAGUCAGUCGUAUGUAUUAAGUCAGCCGUAACGUAAAGAUAAAUCGGCCGUAACUACGUAUCUAUCGCUUAACAGCUGACUUAAUGAAAAUACGGACGCGAAUUCCUCCGUGGCGCCGGUUUUUUGCCUACGUGGCAGCGAAAAGUAAUGGCAUUCUCGUAAAUACGUUUUUUCUCAUAACGUAAAAAAAGGGUACGCUUGGUAUCGAAAAUAUUCUAGUAAUAAAAAAAGAUCUGUAUCAUUCUAGUCAAUACACCUAAAAUAUGUAACAUUCUAGUAAACUUCCCAAAANNNNNNNNNNNNNNNNNNNNNNNNNNNNNNNNNNNNNNNNNNNNNNNNNNNNNNNNNNNNNNNNNNNNNNNNNNNNNNNNNNNNNNNNNNNNNNNNNNNNNNNNNNNNNNNNNNNNNNNNNNNNNNNNNNNNNNNNNNNNNNNNNNNNNNNNNNNNNNNNNNNNNNNNNNNNNNNNNNNNNNNNNNNNNNNNNNNNNNNNNNNNNNNNNNNNNNNNNNNNNNNNNNNNNNNNNNNNNNNNNNNNNNNNNNNNNNNNNNNNNNNNNNNNNNNNNNNNNNNNNNNNNNNNNNNNNNNNNNNNNNNNNNNNNNNNNNNNNNNNNNNNNNNNNNNNNNNNNNNNNNNNNNNNNNNNNNNNNNNNNNNNNNNNNNNNNNNNNNNNNNNNNNNNNNNNNNNNNNNNNNNNNNNNNNNNNNNNNNNNNNNNNNNNNNNNNNNNNNNNNNNNNNNNNNNNNNNNNNNNNNNNNNNNNNNNNNNNNNNNNNNNNNNNNNNNNNNNNNNNNNNNNNNNNNNNNNNNNNNNNNNNNNNNNNNNNNNNNNNNNNNNNNNNNNNNNNNNNNNNNNNNNNNNNNNNNNNNNNNNNNNNNNNNNNNNNNNNNNNNNNNNNNNNNNNNNNNNNNNNNNNNNNNNNNNNNNNNNNNNNNNNNNNNNNNNNNNNNNNNNNNNNNNNNNNNNNNNNNNNNNNNNNNNNNNNNNNNNNNNNNNNNNNNNNNNNNNNNNNNNNNNNNNNNNNNNNNNNNNNNNNNNNNNNNNNNNNNNNNNNNNNNNNNNNNNNNNNNNNNNNNNNNNNNNNNNNNNNNNNNNNNNNNNNNNNNNNNNNNNNNNNNNNNNNNNNNNNNNNNNNNNNNNNNNNNNNNNNNNNNNNNNNNNNNNNNNNNNNNNNNNNNNNNNNNNNNNNNNNNNNNNNNNNNNNNNNNNNNNNNNNNNNNNNNNNNNNNNNNNNNNNNNNNNNNNNNNNNNNNNNNNNNNNNNNNNNNNNNNNNNNNNNNNNNNNNNNNNNNNNNNNNNNNNNNNNNNNNNNNNNNNNNNNNNNNNNNNNNNNNNNNNNNNNNNNNNNNNNNNNNNNNNNNNNNNNNNNNNNNNNNNNNNNNNNNNNNNNNNNNNNNNNNNNNNNNNNNNNNNNNNNNNNNNNNNNNNNNNNNNNNNNNNNNNNNNNNNNNNNNNNNNNNNNNNNNNNNNNNNNNNNNNNNNNNNNNNNNNNNNNNNNNNNNNNNNNNNNNNNNNNNNNNNNNNNNNNNNNNNNNNNNNNNNNNNNNNNNNNNNNNNNNNNNNNNNNNNNNNNNNNNNNNNNNNNNNNNNNNNNNNNNNNNNNNNNNNNNNNNNNNNNNNNNNNNNNNNNNNNNNNNNNNNNNNNNNNNNNNNNNNNNNNNNNNNNNNNNNNNNNNNNNNNNNNNNNNNNNNNNNNNNNNNNNNNNNNNNNNNNNNNNNNNNNNNNNNNNNNNNNNNNNNNNNNNNNNNNNNNNNNNNNNNNNNNNNNNNNNNNNNNNNNNNNNNNNNNNNNNNNNNNNNNNNNNNNNNNNNNNNNNNNNNNNNNNNNNNNNNNNNNNNNNNNNNNNNNNNNNNNNNNNNNNNNNNNNNNNNNNNNNNNNNNNNNNNNNNNNNNNNNNNNNNNNNNNNNNNNNNNNNNNNNNNNNNNNNNNNNNNNNNNNNNNNNNNNNNNNNNNNNNNNNNNNNNNNNNNNNNNNNNNNNNNNNNNNNNNNNNNNNNNNNNNNNNNNNNNNNNNNNNNNNNNNNNNNNNNNNNNNNNNNNNNNNNNNNNNNNNNNNNNNNNNNNNNNNNNNNNNNNNNNNNNNNNNNNNNNNNNNNNNNNNNNNNNNNNNNNNNNNNNNNNNNNNNNNNNNNNNNNNNNNNNNNNNNNNNNNNNNNNNNNNNNNNNNNNNNNNNNNNNNNNNNNNNNNNNNNNNNNNNNNNNNNNNNNNNNNNNNNNNNNNNNNNNNNNNNNNNNNNNNNNNNNNNNNNNNNNNNNNNNNNNNNNNNNNNNNNNNNNNNNNNNNNNNNNNNNNNNNNNNNNNNNNNNNNNNNNNNNNNNNNNNNNNNNNNNNNNNNNNNNNNNNNNNNNNNNNNNNNNNNNNNNNNNNNNNNNNNNNNNNNNNNNNNNNNNNNNNNNNNNNNNNNNNNNNNNNNNNNNNNNNNNNNNNNNNNNNNNNNNNNNNNNNNNNNNNNNNNNNNNNNNNNNNNNNNNNNNNNNNNNNNNNNNNNNNNNNNNNNNNNNNNNNNNNNNNNNNNNNNNNNNNNNNNNNNNNNNNNNNNNNNNNNNNNNNNNNNNNNNNNNNNNNNNNNNNNNNNNNNNNNNNNNNNNNNNNNNNNNNNNNNNNNNNNNNNNNNNNNNNNNNNNNNNNNNNNNNNNNNNNNNNNNNNNNNNNNNNNNNNNNNNNNNNNNNNNNNNNNNNNNNNNNNNNNNNNNNNNNNNNNNNNNNNNNNNNNNNNNNNNNNNNNNNNNNNNNNNNNNNNNNNNNNNNNNNNNNNNNNNNNNNNNNNNNNNNNNNNNNNNNNNNNNNNNNNNNNNNNNNNNNNNNNNNNNNNNNNNNNNNNNNNNNNNNNNNNNNNNNNNNNNNNNNNNNNNNNNNNNNNNNNNNNNNNNNNNNNNNNNNNNNNNNNNNNNNNNNNNNNNNNNNNNNNNNNNNNNNNNNNNNNNNNNNNNNNNNNNNNNNNNNNNNNNNNNNNNNNNNNNNNNNNNNNNNNNNNNNNNNNNNNNNNNNNNNNNNNNNNNNNNNNNNNNNNNNNNNNNNNNNNNNNNNNNNNNNNNNNNNNNNNNNNNNNNNNNNNNNNNNNNNNNNNNNNNNNNNNNNNNNNNNNNNNNNNNNNNNNNNNNNNNNNNNNNNNNNNNNNNNNNNNNNNNNNNNNNNNNNNNNNNNNNNNNNNNNNNNNNNNNNNNNNNNNNNNNNNNNNNNNNNNNNNNNNNNNNNNNNNNNNNNNNNNNNNNNNNNNNNNNNNAUGUAUUAUUAUGGCCGCCAUUACUUAAUCGAGACCAGUAUUAGAGUCCUUUAUUCUCUUAUUAUUAUACGUGCGAGAAAUUCCAUCGUCAUUGAGAAUAUCGAGACUCAUUAUUAUGGCCGUCAUUACAUUAUCGAGACUACUAUUAUUAGAGACCUUUAUUCUCUUAUUAUUAUGUGCAUGAGAAAUUUCGUUUGCAUUGAGAAUAUCGAGACUCAUUAUUAUGGCCGUCAUUACAUUAUCGAGACUACUAUUAUUAGAGACCUUUAUUCUCUUAUUAUUAUGUGCAUGAGAAAUUUCGUUUGCAUUGAGAAUAUCGAGACUCAUUAUUAUACGGCUGGCACGCAUGUAUCGGAUUAUUUACAUAAUCGAGGUAUUGUUAUUUUUAAUGUAACUCAGUCAAUACGUCUACGUUAACUCAGCCAAAAUAUAGACGCUAACACAGCCGUAAUACGAAUUCAACUUAAGUGUUUGAUAAAAUAAUAAAGAACCUUUCGUAUUUCUUGAUUUGAUUGAGUUCUGUAAUAAUUAAAGUGCAUCAAGUGUGUGGAAAAAUACGGCUCAAACCUAAUAUCGAGGCAUUUAAUAGUUUAUUAAUUUAAAUUAUUCCUCUUUAUUUGAAUUUUAAAAAAAAAUGAUUUUAUAUUACUACCACUAUUGUUUUAACUUUGUCUUUCACACCAAUUUCUCUUUCAUUCAAAGAAAAUGUCUUCUUCAUCAUCUGUGUCUGGUAACACUUACUUUCACCGCCGGCAUGUGGAAAGAGGAACGCCGAAACAGUGUUGGUGUGGUGAACCCGCUGAAUUAUGUACAUCUGCAUCACGGGCUAAUCCAGGAAGACUGUACUAUUGCUGUCGCAAAGGAUAUAUUAAGGUUUGAUUUUUAAUUUUAUUCAUUAUACUGUCAAUGUGAUACUAAGAGCUGGGCAUGUUGGUGAAAUCAGAGACAUUUAUUCAAAUGGGCGGACGAGUGCUUGGUGGAAGAGGUAGAAGAUAUGAAAUCGGUGAUGAGUGACAUGACCAAAGGCAUAUCAGAUCUGAGAGUAGACGUUGGUCGGUUGGAGAAAGAACUCGGUAAAGCGGAAAAGAUGAAGUGUUUGAUGUUUCCAGUGGUGGUUUGUGGGUUUGGUAUGGCCAUAUUUUGGCACUAUUUCUUUGCGUAGUCAUGUGUUGUAAUCAUAAUUUAGACGCAAUGUUUUUAGUAACUCAGCUAUUACGUUCAAUGCAACUCAGCCAGUACGUUAAUUAAUUCAUAAUCAAACAAUAACCCAGCCAUAAUACGAGUAUUCGUCAGUCAUAACGUUUUAAUAACUCAGUUAUAACGUUCACUGCAAUUCAGCCGUUACGUUAAUUAAGUCACUAUCAAACAAUAACCCAGCCAUAAUAUGAGUAUUCGUCAGUCAUAAUGUUUUAAUAACUCAGUUAUAACGUUCACUGCAACUCAGCCGUUACGUUAAUUAAGUCAUAAUCAAACAAUAACCCAGCCAUUAUAUGAGUAUUCGUCAGUCAUAAUAAGAUAGUAACUCAGCUAUAACGUUCAGUGGAAGUCAGUCAUAAUCAAACAAUAACAUAAACAAUAACUCAACCAUAAUAUGAAUAUUAGUCAGCCAUAAAAAGAGACAUACAUAAAUUUCUGGUUCGACAUACAUAAGUUUAGGUUCAAAAUCACUCUUCCCUUUCCGGACAUACACACAUUAGUGGAGUAGUUUUCCCAUCUCCAACCACAUUGAACACAAAUAAGUCUCCUAUGGCGCAUCUGUUAGCACGACAGAACUUUCUCCAGCCUCUUCUGAUGUAAUACAUGCCGUCUGCUUCGCUAAAUCGCAAACUCACAGUCCAUGAAUUUCCCUCUUUGUUGACAAGUAUUAUCUCUUGGCAUUGUUUGUUCAAAGCAGUACAAGUCGUAGCUCCCUCAGGAAGAUACUGCAAACACAGAACGUAAAGACACAGAACAGAUCAAACCAUAUGUUAAUAACUAACUAAAUACUGCAAACACAGAACGUAAAGACACUGAACAGAUCAAACCAUAUGUUAAUAACUAACUAAAUAUGGUCUAUAACUGAAAAUCGACUCACAAGUUUGUCUUCUUUUAGAUUCGAAGCAGUGACCUCAGCCUGAAAACAAUAGUCAAAUGAGAAAGAAGGAGCAUCAUCCGCAUCGGCUUCUUCCUUGAUGAUGUGAGGAUGUGUAUACUGAAUCUCACAACAGCUAGGACCAAAUGGUGUGACAUGAAACACCAUAUCUCCUUCGUGUUUGAAGAUGACAAUGUCACCGAUUUGAAGGUCAUGUGCUGUGGUGAAAUCUUUCCAACCUCCGGUGAGUCUCCUGCCUUCUUGUAUCACUUCCCAAGUUUGAUCUGUAGCGUCCGAUCUUAGUUUUCAUGUUUUCCGGUUUGUUUUCCCUUCUAUGUGCUGUGAGAAGAAGCCAAGUGGUAUUGUCUGCAGGUCAGAAAAGCCAAAGUUAAGCAAACUCUAAAAUAGGAACAUAUACACAUGAGAAAUAGAGAGUGUGUGUCUACCACGCCACUGUGGAAAUCGGGAAGCAGAGGCUUCAAGAAAUGAGGUUUGUGCGAAUUAGGCAUCUGCAAACAAGAAAAGAAUGGGAAGAAAACAUCAUCGAACCUAAGCUGAAUCCACAAAUCUGCAAAAGAGAGGCUUCGGUUUUACCUUCGUAUCGAGACGCUUCGAAAUCGCCUGUCGUCGAGAGCUUUUCUUUUUUUUUUUCGCGUUGGGACGAAAAUGAUUUCUUUUUUUUUUCCUUGUGUAAAGUAAAUAAUGCCGGAAAAUAGAACUCAGCCGUAACAUUGUUAAUAAUUAAUAAUGCCGAAGAAUAAAACUCAGCCGUAACAUUGUUAAUAAUUAAUAAUGCCGAAAACUAAACCUCAGUCGUAAAAUUGUUAAUAUUUAAUGAUGUCGAAAAAUAAAAGUUGGCCAAAAGAGUCAUACAUAAUUUAACUCAGUGUCGAGUUAUGUCCUGACACGCAUGUCCGAGUAAUUUACGAUAUCGAGGUCAUUAUAUGUUUAUUUUAUUUGGACACGCGUGAUCUUUAUAUUUAAUAUGAUUUCCCUAUUAUAUUUCCAAUAUUUACAAGUAAAAGAUAAAGGAAAAACCAGAGUCGACUUCUAAAACCUAAAGUAAGUCUCUUUCGUCCAAAAUCGAUUUUGAAUUAUUUUUUGUAUUUUGGCCUUGUUCGAUUUUGCAUUAUUUUUUGUGUGCUAUGAUGUAUAAAUUAGAUGGAUCUACAGCGUGGAAUUCCAAGGACGUGCGACUGUGGAGCUGCUACCAUUGUGUUAACGUCAGGUACAAUAAAGAAUCCGGGUAGAAGAUUUUAUCGAUGUGGAGCAAAUUCGGGUCAAAACCAUGUUUUCAAAUGGCUUGAUGAAGCACAUGAUGAAGAGUUUGUAGUUGUGGCAAACAAACUCGCGACGAUAGAGCAGGAUUUGGCCGCUAUAAAAGCAGAAUUAGAUGAUAUGAAGAAAGACAUAACUGAGAUCAUAAAAAUUAUUGAAUGUCUUAGGAUGAAGUCUUAAAUGUAUUAGUUGCUACUACUACUUCUUUGUUUACUCAGAUUCUGUACUCAUAAGUUAGUCUAUGUUUAUGUAACUCAGAUUUAACUCAGCCGUUGUUAAUUUCUUCCGAAACAACAACUCAGCCGUAACAUGUAAUAAUAUCAGUCUUAACGUUUAGGUGAACAAUCAAAAAACAGUCAUAUUUCUAACAAUCAAAAAACAAUCAAAACUUAGGCAUUUAAUAAAGCCAUAAGAUGAAUAAAUGAGAAUAACUCAGCCAUAAGAUGAAAAUAAGUCAGCCAUAAGAUGAAAAUAACUCAGCCAUAAGAUGAAAAUAAGUCAGCCAUAAAAACAGAAUAUAUAAUUUUUUGUUCGACAUACAUAAUGGCAUAGCAAAAAACAUAAAAAAGAUAAGAUUCUGAUGCAGAGACAUCUUCACCACUUACUUGUGUCCCUAAACAGGCUUAUCGGUUCAAAAUCACGAAAGAACAAGGAAAUCUCUUUGAUCCAGAAACAGCGCUCACACAUGUUGUCGUCCUUAGUCACAUCAAUGUGCCAUAGGCAGAGACAUUGUCGGUCCACAACAUUUGCACAUUGGCAAAGGUAGAAGGACGGAACAUAAGUAGAAGUGAACAUGGCCUUAAUUUGACGGAACUCGUCAGUAUGCCACAAACCCCAUCCCCAUUUCGCAUCUCGAACAAGUUUCCCGACCCUGUCAACAGUUGCUCUUGGAAUUCUCCGAAAAUACUGCGCAUCACCGUAAAAGAUUGCUUGAGUCAUAGCGUGUGUAUACACUGCACGCUCAUAUCCUGCAUCUGCUGCACGCUUGAGGAGAGAAAGGCCAUAAUCUUGCUCAUCGUAUGAGUAGAAAAACUGUACACCCUUUACAUAAAUUGUGCUUGGAUUGUUCUCAGCGUAGCAAGUUUUCAACAACUGAGAUGGCAUAAUGAGACCCCAGGGAAAGGAUAACACAUCGAAAUAAUGGUAUACCCUACGCAUCUCUGCUAACGCCUUCAUCGACCUGGACGAUGCUCUGAGGCGGUAGAGAUCUUGGAAGGAGUUACGGGCCACACGUUCAACCACCAUUGCCUGAAGAUCUUCAGGCAAUUCAAGCAGAGGGAAAUAUUCCAUUUUCUCUGAGAGGACAGUUGUGUAAAAGAUAGAGAGUUGAAGAUGUGUAAUUGUUUGAGAAGUACCUUAUUUAUCUGCAGUUAACGGUUGUAGUUUCGUAUCGCGGCGUUUCUUAUUUCUUAUUUUGAGCGGGAAUUUAAUCCAUAACUCAGCCGUGUAUUACAAUAACUCAGCCUUAGUUGACUUCGCGACGUUUCGUGUUUCUAGCGGGGAAGUUUUUUUCAACUGCGUUUGAAUAAAAGAGCUGACAUUAGAAAUCACGACAAUUAUUAGGCGUGUGAGUAACAUUAUCUCAGCCAAUGAAGAUUAAUUUCUCUUAAUUUAAUUCGCUACUUUCGUAUUCCACUUUAAAAUCAAUAAUUACGUAGGGGCUAUUACGUAACGUAGGGCAAUUAAGUACGGACAUUUCGUUUUUCGAUGUCUGUGUCUCUCUUGAGUAAUGGGAAGCGGGCAAGUCCCCGAAAAUGCCAAUACAAGACUUGCUUAUAUUGGUCAAGUAAUAAUCCAGCCGUAGUGCAAAUCAAUGAAAAUAAAAACCCAACCACAAUACAAAAUUUGAAAAACAUUAACGCAGCCGUCAUAGAACAUUAAAACAAAAAAACCCAGCCGUAUUACAACACAAAACCCAGCCGUAUUACAACACAAAACCCAGCCGUAUUACAAUUAAUAAUCCAGCCGUUGUGCAAAUCAAUGAAAAUAAAACCCAGCCGUAUUACAACACAAAACCCAGCCGUAUUACAACACAACAUGAAAAGCAAUUGCUUAUAUCGGACAAGUUCUCGCAUUAUGUCCACUUUGACUGCAACGAGAACAUAUGUGCUCUUUCCUAGGACGUUUGUUUGCAAGUGCAACUUCUAAAGCAGAUUUCAUCCUAUUUUUUUUAGGUCUUCCCGGUUGUUGACGAAUAAACGGUGGAAAGCACUGUACGUUAGCCACGUUAUCUGGAACAGGUAGCGCUGAGUCAACCGGCAUGACCGAUUCAGCGUAUGCGCUAGCUAAAUAAGUGCUUUUAUAGUAAGGACUGCACAGUGAUAUACGAGAAACAUUUCUUUCCUCUGCAGCUGCGAUUGCGUGUACACAUGGUAUUUUCUCGACAUCGAAACGCCGACAUGUGCACUUUCGCUCAACCAAAUUAACAACAUUCAAAGACUCGCCAGCAGCGCCAUAUUUAACUUCAGUGUGAUGGUCAUCAAUCCUUUGAACCGUCCAAUCCCGGGAGGCACUUACACGUCCCUAUUAACAAAACCCAAUAUUCGUGAAACGGCUUACUUAUUAUUUAUAAAGCUGGCUUAUGCAAUAUAACGACUGACUUAUUAGAUUUAAAGACUGACUUAUUUUACUGUUACGACUGACUUACUUGUAAUAGUUUCUCCACACCGCGCGUGAGUGUGGUUGACUGCGAUCUGGCAUCCACUCUUCGUUCAGCAAACCAUCUGGUCAUCAUAACCCGUAUCGAUUCCAAUAUUCGAACAAUGUUAAGACCUCUAGCAUGCGAUAAUGCUCUGUUCAUUGAUUCCGCUAUGUUCGUAGUCAUCAAAUUGUACCUCUCGCCCGGGAAAUAAACACGUGUCCACAGUCUGACAUCAGCUCUUUCGAGGUAGCCGUGGAGAUCAGGAUUAAGUGCUUCAAUCUCCUCGAAAAUCAUAUCAAAGUCAGACAUUCUAAAACAUCUCGCCGCUUUCUUCACCAGCCGAAAUACAUCUUUUCCUUUGUACCGUCCCAAUAUGUUUUUAUACAAAUGAUAGGUGCAUAUUCCACGAGCAGCUAACGGAUACACAUUUGUAAUUGCUUUCCCUAUCGAGUUAUGCCUAUCUGAUAUUAUCGCAAGACCCUCCUGGUCAGGAAUCAACACUUUUAGUUGCGUAAAAAACCAAUUCCACGAAUCAUCAUUUUCAGUGUCAACCACUGCGAAGGCUAUUGGAAAAAUCUGAAAGUUACCAUCCUGAGCUAGUGCUGUGAGUAGCGUCCCUUUAUAUUUACCAUUAAGAAACGUACCGUCGACGACAACAACUUUGCGCAUGAAAGGAAACCCAUUAACGCUCGCACCAAACGCAAGAAACACAUACAUGAAUCUUCCAAGCUCAUCGAUUUGAAGACGCGUAACUGUAUUCGGAUUUGCCCUUCUUAUCAUGUAUAAGUAAGAAGGCAAGAGUUCAAAACCACACUCAGGUGUGCCCUCAUCGAUUUCCCUUGCACAUUUAAGCGUCCGGUGUGAUUUCCAAUAUUCCAUCUGCUCACAUGAAAAAACAAUUUACAUAACUCAGCCACAUCAUAUCAUUAAGACGGUCACAACGUAAACAUAACUCAACCAUAGUUUUGUAACUCAGCCAUUUCUAACACAAAAUAACCCAGCCUAUACUCUACCAUAACUCAGCCGUUGUAACAUAAUUACCUUUACACCAAACUGCUUAGUGAUAGCUAUUCCGACACUCUCAGGGCGAACGGCCGGACCAACGUCGCCGAGAAAGUUCUUGUACAACUCUCCUAAAAUAUCCGGUGUUGCAUUUCGAGAUCGAUUAGAACGCUCAGUUACAGAACAUGCAUGAUCCGAGUCGUAAAUACGAAUAUAAAACUGCGGGGACAAUCCUUCGGUAGAUGCACGAACUCUCCAUGUACAUCCAUCAACCCAACACUUAACAACGUAUGUUGUCAGGUUUGAUAUUUCUACAUCAAAAUCAAAUUGAUGCCUCACUGUAAAAAGUUUCAGUCGUCUCUUCAAAUGCUUUUUAGUCAAGUAUCGUUGUCCUACCGCAAGGUCUAACGACGACAUCUCCAACUUCAAAACCUCCAGAUUCCCUUUAGAUUCGCUCAUCAAGAAGUUCUGAUAUCUCUUCUUGGAAGGUAGCGUUGGUGAAUCUUCGUCUUCUUCGAUAGGAGACUCACCGUAUGUGCUGAAGUUAUCAUCUUCAGAUGACGCACCGUCCGAGUCAUCGAACAUAUCAAAUCGACUUUCAAAUUCAUCAUCUUCUUCGUUUUCUUUGCCUAUUUCAUCUUCUCCGGCUACGUCGUGUAUUUCAACGUUACUAAAGCAGUCAUUCUCAAUUUCAUCUUGUUCAUCCUCCAAACUGCAACCAUCGUAACUCCCAUUCUCUAUAGACUCAACUUCUAAAGCUUCUUCUUCUAAAGCUUCUUCUUCUGAAGCGUCUUCUUCUGAAGCUUCUUCUUCUGAAGCUUCUUCUUCUGAAGCUUCUUCCUUUUUCUCUGUAAUCUCCACACAGAGACGUAGUUGUUCGCUUUUCUUUAAGCUUAGAAAACAUUGCAAUUGUCGAGUGUUGGACACGUAAACUGGUGGAGUGUUGUGCGCCAUUGUUUUCAAUGUUUUAUUCGAAAACAUGUAGCUAAGCAGAAUAUGAACCUUCAAAUCAUUCAAACCGUAAUCGUCGAUGACAGACUUUGUGAAAUCUUCAAGUUUAGUUUUCUCACCUAAAUGAAGAACUCUACACCCUCUACUGUCGACGUUGAAUACAUAUCGUUUUUUCAUAAUCCAUUUACCGGAAACAAUAAUAACGGGAUCCAUUACCAUAUGAGAAAGAUGAAGAGGAUAGAUAACUGAGAUGAUGAAGAAGAAAAGAAAGGCUGUGUAAUCAUUCAAAAAUAAGAUGAAGAAGACAACUGAAAGGUCUCGUAACUCAGUUGUAAAUUGGGCGACCGUUAGUGAUGACAUGUCAAAUCCGAGUUGAUGACAUGGCAGAUGACAUGGAACAUCGGUUAAUCAGCCGACAAACAAAUCAGUAACUCAGCCAAAAUAAGUCAGCCAUCAUGUUUACACUUUGUCAGCCGAUACAUGGAAACAUUCUAGUAAUUAAUCUUUUGACGGUAAGUCAGCCGCAAUAAGGAUGAACAACCAUAUGUCAGCCGUAUCGUUACGUAAAUCAGCCAUCAAACGAGAACAUUCUAGUAAUUAAUCUUUCGCUCAUACGUCAGCCGCAAAGCAGCUGAGUUUACUGUUUAUCCAUGCUUUAACGGCUGACUAAUACAAACCCAGUCGUAACAGCAUCCCAUAACUCAGCCGUGGCUUCAAUAACCCAGCCCAUCCAUGUUCCUUUACUCAGCUGAAAAAAAGUUUCUCAGCCGUUUCUUAACCACGACUCAGCCAAAUUUUCCAGAAAUCAAACCGCCGAUGUAUAAGUCAGCCGUCAUUUGUAUCAUUAAGUCAGCCGUGGUCACAUAACUCAGCCGGAUUUCUGUAAAUCAGUUGUAUCGGCAAGCUGACUUAUAGUUUUAAGUCAGCCACUUUCACUUAAGUCAGUCGUAUGUAUUAAGUCAGCCGUAACGUAAAGAUAAAUCGGCCGUAACUACGUAUCUAUCGCUUAACAGCUGACUUAAUGAAAAUACGGACGCGAAUUCCUCCGUGGCGCCGGUUUUUUGCCUACGUGGCAGCGAAAAGUAAUGGCAUUCUCGUAAAUACGUUUUUUCUCAUAACGUAAAAAAAGGGUACGCUUGGUAUCGAAAAUAUUCUAGUAAUAAAAAAAAGAUCUGUAUCAUUCUAGUCAAUACACCUAAAAUAUGUAACAUUCUAGUAAACUUCCCUUAAACUUAAGGUAACGUUCACCCGACAGUACGACCCUCUUAUCUAAUUUCUUUGAUUGUAAAUUCCAACAAGAAUUAUUCAAAGAGAAACCAUCUUUUGAUCUCCAGCAUUGAUCCGGAUUCAAGGAUAGUGAUUUCAAAUAUUGGUCAAGAUGCUCCUCCUGUAAAAACAUACAUAAGAUACCAAAAGUUCAAAACACUUCUUGAAUAUAUUUGACUAAAUGAUAGCAAGCAAAAGAGGUUGUAUGGUAAUAUACCGGUAUGGUGCUGCAAGUCCUUCCACGUACUAUUAGCUUCUCUAAAUCAGGUGAGUUUUGUAACAGCCUUUGUAUACCAGGAAUAACAUACUGAUAGAUCACUGUAUCAAGAAUCAGUGAUUUGACCUUGAGCAUCGGGAAAGAAACACCACGAAUCUCAACAAGAGAUAAAAUCUAACAGAAAGAACAAAAAAAGAUUAUGAAUAUUGAUUAGUACCGAGCUUUUGACAUGUAAGACUUUUCAAACGUUCUUAGAACUAUAGAAAAUCAGACUAACAGAAACUAUUUAAUCCAUAUAGAAAAGGUUGACUGUGCAACCAAACUAACUUUUAGGCAUUAGACAAUGCUAUUAUAUGAGCCCAAAAAAGUAUAAAUACCUUAACAAAGUUUCCACCAAAUGUAAGCUUCUCAGCGUUUUGUAACUUUUCUAGCAUUUUUAGCACCAUGUCUUCGAGAAAAUCAGCCUUGGACUUGAAGAAAGAGGUACUUAGGCAUAGCAAACGUCCAGUUUAGCUUCGGUUAAAGAAGCGACAUCAACCAAAGUACAUGAUGGCCGAGAGCCUAACAAUCUGAGAUAAUGGAUGUGUGGUGCCACAAUCUUCGUUGGCCCCUCCGGAACCAUCACGUUACGGUCUACAGCUAGUGUUUUCAGACGUAAAGAUUUGCUGAGAUCAAGAACCUUUAGUUUACCGCAGUGAUACAACGUUAAGUUUUCGAGAACGGGACAACCGGAUAGAAUCCUGGCCAUGGAUUCAUCUGAGAGACUACAACAACUCAAGGAUAACUUGUGCAAAGAAGUCCAAGAGACAGUGCACUUGAAAGGAACAAUCGUAUGAGAAUAGAUGUUGAGUUGCUUGAAAUAAGAACUGUUGUAGAAGAAAUCUGGAAACUUAUAAUCUACUAAUAAUAGGAAUCCUGAUUAAUUCCAAAAGUUGUGGAUCUCACUUAUGUUGAAAAGUUGUGUCUUUUGAAAAAGAUAUGUAAAGGAUUGUGUAUUUUCUAAAAGUUAUAUAUUGUAAGGUUGUGUCUUCUAUAAAAAUUAUUUAAAAGUUGUGUCCUUUCUAAGAGAUGUCAAAAACAUGAUUUCUAACCGGGGCCUCAAGCUCUGGUAGUAAAGGACCCUCAGCUGAGGUAUCCGCCAUCACGAGUUCAAGUCCCAGCCACCGGGGGAUUAAAAUUUGGGCAUCGCCGGCGACACGGAUUAGUCUCUUAGGCCUAGGAAGCCUUUGGGGAAACUGUGUAUAAUUCAAAAAAAAAAAACACGAUUUCAAAAAGUCUAAAUAGUUGUGUCUUUUCAAAAUAAUUACUUUGGAAAAGAUGUGACUAUUUAAAUUGAAGAGUUGUGACUAUUUAAAUAUAUUUUAAAAUUUAUAAAUAGUCUGUGACAUGCAUUUCUCAAUGGUCAAUCAUGGUGAGUCAUUGUUACUUUGUACAAAUCAUAAUAGAUUUGUCAAAACGUCUGACUUCAACGGAAACCACCAUAGGACCAAUGCUUUAGAAAAUGUUAUAUCAUCAGAAGAUGUGAUACGUUCAUUUAUAAUGAAAGAAAAUCAAAGUUAACUAUUGCUAUUAGGAUUUUGAUACGGAAGCUUUGGUAACAAAUUGUCCAAGUUUCCGAAUGGUUUGUGAAAACAUAGGGGUUUACCAUGCUGUUCAAAUAACAUCACCAUUGGCACUCUAUACAUCUGUUACAUUCUAAAUAUGUGUGCUAUGAGAACUAAAAAUUCACUCUUCCCUAGAACUUUUGUUUUUUUUUUACUUAAAAAAAUCAAAUAAUCAACAAAUAAGACUUUAUAACAUGCCUUCAUUCGAAUAAUUAAGAUUUUUUUUCAGAUUUUUCUACCGUAUAAAAUGGUUAAAUCCCAUUUUGGAGACCUACAUUCUACGCAUGAUAGAAAAUUGCAUUGUAUAGAAACGAUAAUUAUGUAAGUACAGAAAUAUUCAUAAACAUUAUAUUUUAGUACACGAACGGAGGAUACACUAAAAUUAAAGAUUGGAUGAUUUUGCUUUGAUAAAAAUCCAUUCAAAUAAAAAUGUAAAAUGAUGCACUAAGAAUUCUACCUAGCAAAUUUUACCAGAUAUAAUGACAUGUUAAUUAAUAUGUUUUGAUCAAAAUUUCUUAUAUACUUGGAACAUACAUGAUGAGAAAUACAAAGAAAAAAUAGCUUUUAAAAAUAGUUAAAGUGUCUUUCUAUAAUAUAAGUGGUUUUUGAAAUAUGUGUAUUUAAAAUUUAAUUUUUAAAAUAGUUAAAAAAGUUACUACCAAGAAAGACAAUAGCGGUUAUAGUACAGGAGGUCAAUGCUUAUACAUACUUCCAUUAAAUUAUUUAACUUAUAGAGAUAUAUUAUGUCAGAUCGAGAAUAAACCCAAAUAUGGAUAAUAAUGUAUGCUAAAUAAAUUGAUUCAGUAAAAAUAAUAUCUUAAGUUAAGCUUCAAAUUUAUGUAACUUUCUUGAUGGUUACGGAGAAGAUUACAUUGAAGGGAAUAGUGAUCAAAUUCAGUUACUUUAAAAUAAACAACAAAGCAACGCGUCUAACCAUGAGACCAGCAGUUGUGUCCCUUAGCAAAUGAUAGCAAUGCUUCGAAAUUAAUUGCAAUAAUGCUUCGGAUAUUAUUUAAGUGAUUAACCAUUCACAUUUUUCGUCUACUCAGAAUUUGAAACAACACAAAAUUACUCUAACAGUUCUAUGAUCCAUGUUAGUAACUCUCCGAAUUGUAUAUAUCAUGCUUUAAUCCAUGUUUUCUCGUCGACAUCUCUCAUAUACUGUGUUAACAUGUCAUAUUUUGUCUGUAUAUUGCGUUUAUGUGUAACCCACUCUAACUCGGCAAAUCCAUAUUCAUAUCUUUAGAUACGUACAUCUCUUCUUAAAGUCAUUCUUCAGUUAUCAUUAAACUGGUUUGUGAAUCAACAAUGGAAUACAAUUUGAUUGUCUUUGGAUGUUUGUGGAUUCAGUUGAUUAUAUUCGAUACUACAAAUCUACAAUAUAGAGUUAUGUCUCACUGAAUAAUUAACUCCAUGUGUUUGGGAUAUAGUAACGUGUUGCAGGGUGUGUUAGGUACAUGGAUUCUGAGCUAAUAGGUGACGCACCAAUCAACAUUUAAUUAAAGGUUUUAUCUUUUGAAAUAUUAACUGAUAGUUAAAUCCAAUUUUUCACUUAAACACAAAACUAUUAAUGCAAAAGCUGUAUUAUCAAUAAAGCCAUAUAACUGUAUGCAAGAUACUUUUGUAAUACAUAUUUUUUUUCGAAAGUAAUUAAUUGUAAACAAGUUUUUUUUUUGUCAUCAACAUAAACAGACUCAUACAGAUUCUGUAAACCAAACCGGGAGCUCUCUAUCCAUAUGAACGACAAAAGACGGUUGUUUCAUGGCACUGCGUGCUAGACUAUUCUUGAGACAUGGAUGAGCUCUGAGCUAAUGAAGCUUUCUUUAAGGGUUUUUAUAUCUUCCAAAUAAACUGCAAAUGCUGGCCAUUCAUCAGGUUCUGAAACCAUAUUCACCAAUUGAGAACAAUCUGUUGCAAAUGUGACUUGAUACUGACGCAAAUUUCUCAUACACUCCAUUGCUCACAGUAAAGCUUCCAUCUCUGCAUGAAGAGGAGAGAGACUAGCCCUAACAUUUCGUGUCCCCAUUAAACCAUCAAAACCUUCUAAAGUACUGUACCAACCCUGGCCUGAGAAGAAGUCAUUUUCUUUCCAGGACCCAUCUGUGAAACACCAUCGUCCCGAGAUCAUCGCAUGGGUUUCUUACCUAGUAAUAAUAAUAAUAACGAGAGAAAUUCAGGGACAGAUUCUCAACGUUGUGUGACGUGGCAAACUUGAUCCACCUGUCUACGUAUGGUAUUUUCUCCUUCGUAAUGGGUGUUAUUAGGGGGUCAAAACUCUUUGUCUUCGGGGCUGUGUAGCGAGCUAGGGUUUCAUUUAUCGAAGCGGCAGUCAGUGUAUCGCCACCUAAGGUGAUAGAAGGUAUCUCGCACCACACAUGUCUCCAUCGUCUAGACAAGAGGGAUGUAGACAUGGCCAGUUUGAUCGGAAUUAAGCAGAGCAUGUGUUGGAGGAUUCCAUCUGGUAAAUUGCUGAUCAAGUCUUCGGCUCCUUUGAUCAUCAUGUCUUCGGUCAUCCUUUUUUCUUUUUUUUUGCGAUGUUAGUCUUAGGUCACAGUUUUAUAUAUAGGAUAUUGUUGAAAGGUUAUAUAAUGGGCUUAGACCCAAAAUAAUAAUGAGCUUUAGUUUGCAUCUGAAAAGAUCAAACCAGAUAACCAAAUUUAACAAGGCCACUAGGGGUGGGCGUUCGGGUACCCGUUCGGGUUCGGAUCAGUAUUUCGGAUUUUCGGGUAUUUCGGUAUAGAAGUAUAGAACCCGUUCGGGUAUUUCUGUACUUCGGGUCGGAUUCGUGUAUUUUUAGUUCGGGUUCGGUUAUUUCGGAUCGGAUUCGGAUAUUUAGAUUUUGAAAUUUUUUAAAAAAAAUUUCAUCUCUCAAAUUUUUUUGUAUUUAAAAAUAUAACUUUCACUUAACUAAUUUUUUAUUUUUAAUACAUUGAAUGGUUAAUAGAUUUGGACAUAACAUUUUGAAACUAAAAAAAGACAUUAAUUUGGUUAUUGUUUUUAAAUUUUGGAUGUAAUUUUUUGUUAAUUCUUGAAAUAAAAAGUUUGACAUGCAUUUUAAGUGAGUAGCAAAUCAUUUUCUCCGUAAUUUUAUGUAUAUAAUAUGAACUUAAAGUAUGUGUAGUAUCAAUAUAAAUAUUUUAUAUAAAAUGAGAGAUGUAAACUAGAAAUAUAUGGUUAAUUAUACAUAUAUUCGGUUAUUUUCGGAUAUCCAUUCGGGUUCAGAUAUUACCUGUUCGGGUUCGGAUAUCCAAUCUCUCCUAAUUCAAUACUCGUUCGGAUAUUUUGGAACUUCGGUUCGGAUUUCAGUUCGGGUUUUUCGGAUCGGGUUCGGGUACGGCUUCGGAUAUCGGGUAAAAUGCCCACCUCUAAAGGCCACUGUAAAAAGCACUUCCACAGCAGCAAAGCCGGUUCUACAUACAAGUGAAACAUUAAUUUAUGAUCAUAUCCCUUGUAUAUUAGUCAUGGAUCAUUAUAACAUAUUUUCGUAGUCACGUGUCACCACGAAGAUGAUUCUUAGAAUUCUUAGAAAAAUAAAUUGAUUCAUAUAAACAUAUACUAUGUUUUUUUAUUAAACUAACUAUCAUUAAUUAGUAGUGUACAAAAAAUAUUUUUUCCUUCCUUAAAUCAAAGUUACAAAAUUACCUAAUAUGGUUGACAUAAAUAUGACAAUUAAUGACUAUGAAUAAUAUAUAUUUAAUAAGAAUUAUUGUAUCAUCUCCCUUUUUUAAUUUUAUAUUAUUAAAACAAAUUAAACAAUCACAUUAAGCAUAUAAUAAAAAAAAUAGAUUUAUUUUCUUACAUGUUAUAUUUGGACUUUUAAAAACAAUUAUAAAUUACUAAAAUGUUAAAAGUCCAGCAUUGAAAAUUUUGUGAUCAAUGGUUUAACUUUUUUUUGUUCAAUCAAGAUACAAAUGAUCAUAUAUCGUAGGAGUGGCUCAUAUCGGGUAUUUAAGAUUUUUGGGUAUUUCAGUAUAAAGGUAUAUAACCCCGCUCGGGUAUUUCUAUACUUUGGGUUCGGGUAUUUUAUGUUCAUCUUCUUCUCUUGGGGCUUCUAGAUAUAUUUCAUAAAAACUUUUAUCAACAAGCUAACUAAAACCUAGCAAUAUUCACAUCUGCUUUUGAUACACUCUAAAGAAGUCGACUUGUAUAUGGCCUGAAAUUUGUGUGACCAAAUCAAAGGCGACUUCUAGUGUGUUUUCGUUAGGGAAAUGUAGAUAUUCAAUAAAGUACACAAGUUAUAUAAAAUAAAAAUAAAUGUUCAAUGACACUCAAAGACUUUAACCCCUAUGAUUCACCACUCCUCUGAUGCCAUAGGCUUGUUGGUGGAGGAGAGCACAAUGGUAACAUUGCUGUUGUGAGGAAGUGUUGGAAUCACGUAUUCAAUUUUAAACGUAAGGUAACGUUCAUCCAGCAGUACGACAAUCUUGUCUAGUUUCUCUGUGUUCUUAAGCACGAGUUCCAUGAAUGAAGUUACAUGCUUUGGUUGUACAUUCAAACGAGACUUAUUCCAAGAGAAACCAUCUUUUGACUUCCAGCAUUGAUCCGGACUCAAGGACUUUAGUUUCAAGUAUUGGUCAAGAUGCUCCCCCUGUAAAACAUUAAUAAGAUACAAAAGACGUUCCUUGGAUAAUAGCUAGAAAAAGAGGUUGAUGAUGAAUUUACCGGCAUCGAGUUGUAAAUCUUUCCACGUACUAUUAGCUUCUCUAAAUCAGGUGAGUUUUGUAACAACCUUUCUAUACCAGGAAUAACAUACUUACAGAUCACAGUAUCAAGAGUCAAUGAUUUGACCUUGAGAAUAGGGAAAGGAACACCACGAAUCUCAGCCAGAGAUAAAAUCUAACAGAAAGAACAAAAAAGAUUAUGAAUAUUGAUUAGUACCGAGCUUUUUACGUAUAAGACUUUUCAAACGUUCUUUGAGCUAUAGAAAAUCAGACUAACAAAAACUAAUUAAUCCAUAUAGAAAAGGUGACCGUGCAACCAACCAACUUUUAGGCAUUAGACAAUGCAAUAAUAUCAGCCCCCCAAAAAAGCGUAAAUACCUUAACAAAGUUUCCACCAAACGUAAGCUUCUCUGCGUUUUGUAACUUCUCUAGAUUUUUUAGCACCAUGACUUGGAGAGGUUCAGCCUUGAACUUGAAGUUAGGGUUACUUAGGGCAUAGCAAAUGUCCAGCUUAGCUUCGGUUAAAGAAGCGACAUCAACCAAAGUACACGAUGACUGCGAGUGCAACAAUCUGAGACAGUGGAUAUGUGGUGCCACAAUCUGCCUUGGACCCUCAGCCCCCAUGUUACGGUGUACUACUAAUGUUCUCAAACGUAGGGAUUUGCUGAGAUCAAGAACCUUUAGUUUAUAGCAGUCAUACAAUGUUAAGUUUUCAAGAACAGGACAACCGGAUAUAAUCUUAGACAUAGAUUCAUCAGAGAGUCUACAGAAUCUCAAGGAUAACUUCUGCAACGAUGUCCAAGACACAGUGCAGUAGGGAACAAUCUUAUGAGAAUAGAUUUUGAGUUGCUUGAAAGAAUCACUACUGUAGAAGAAAUCAGGAAGCUUAAACUCUUCAUAAGAAGAACAUAAAUCCAGGGAAAGAUUCUCAAAGUUGUGUGACAUGGCGAACUUGAUCAACCUGUCGAUGUAUGGUAUGUUCUCCGUUAUGUUUUCUAAAAUGAGAUGAAAACUCUUCGUCAUGGGAGCUGUAUAUCGAGUUAGGGUUUCGUUUACAGAAGCUGCCGUCAGUGUAUCCACAUCUAAGGAGAUAGAAGGUACCUCGCACCAUAAAUGCCUCCAUCGUCUAGACAAGAGGGAAGUACUGAUGGCUACUUUGGUGGUCGGAACAAAGCAGAGUAUGUGUUGGAGGAUCACAUCUGGUAAGUUGUUGAUCCUGUCUACAGCUCCUUUGAUCUUCCUGUCGUCGCCCAUCUAUAUUUGCGACAUAUUCUUAGGGCAAAAGAUUAUAUAUAGGAUAUUAUAUAAUGGGCUUAGGCCCUAAAUUCAAAUUAGAUUUAGUUCACAUUUGAAAAGAUCAAACCAGAUAAAACAAAUUCAUUCCUUAAACGUGUGGGACGUGAGGCCUCUACUACCUACACUCUAAUUCAUCCUCCCAGUAUAUUCAAACUAAAGCAGGUUUCUAAGAAGAUCAAUUUAAGCUAGUGUAGGACCAAAAUGAUCAGGUGUUAUUGUAGCAUAAUUUUUCAUAACAACAUCCACCUUCCCAAUUUUAUAAAUUGGUACCAUAAUAGCUAAAAUGAUCCUUUUAAAAAAAAUUGUAGUACUGACACCAACAUUUCAUCAGAGACUUGCAAUAGAAUAGCAUAUACUAGUGUUGAUUAAAGGAUUGAUGAUCUAAUACAUGAAAAUAUACUUAUAGAUAGAAAAAAAAAGGGGUUUUCUUGAUCAUUAUUCACAUAGAAAGUCGUAUGUUUUGUAGAGAGUAACGAGCAAAUUUUAUUUUAUUUUAUGUUAUUUUUUUUGAGUAACGAGCAAAUAACUUAGCUAUAAAACAUUUAAACAUUCCAUACAUAGAGACACUCUGCUCUAGAGAUUGCUUCAAUCUUAAAGCUUUAAUUUCUUGUCGGGAUUAUUGUCUGUACGGAACACAAACUGAUACGUUUUUUUUUUCUAUUGGGGCUAGGUGUUUCUUUCUCCAGCAUGUGAAUAGGCUUGAGAUAACUCCAGAUAAGCAUCAUCUGGCUGCAGCUUGUAAUCCUCAUAUACGUCUCUUAGACGUCAAUUCCAACAGCCCACAACCUGUAAAGAUUCACCCUUUCUAUUGAUUUACAAUAUGUGUGGUGCUUUUACCUUUUCUUGAAUGGUCUCUGUGAAUACGGAUCAAGUGAUGACGUAUGAUUCACACACCAACAAUGUUAUGGCACGAUUUCUAAAGUUUAUUUGUUUUUUUCUAAAUUUAAAUACGUACAGAGUUCAUGAAUGGAAAAGACACGUCGGAAGAAGUUUAAUUUGAACUUUCUUUCCUGAAAGUAUUUAGGGAAUUCGGUUUGGUUCGAUUAUAUUGGUUUUUGGUUUGGUUUGGAUAAAAAGUUGGAAUCAUCUAGUAUAUGAAAUAGUUUUUUUUUGUUCAUGUUUUCAGUUAAUUCGGGUUAAAAAUUCAGAAAUUUUGAGUUUUUUAAAUAUUAAUUUUUUUUUGAAUUUUCAGAUAAGAAUUUGGAUAAUUUUAAUUAUUUAUGUAAAGAAUUAUUCCGGUAGUCGAGUUUAUAAAUAGUAUUUUAAAAAUAUUUGAUUAUUUUAAAAUUAACUAUAGUUUAUAUUUAUGAAUAUAUAAAUUAUUUAUAGAAAUUUAGACAUCCAUUUGGUUCUUGAUUCGAUUAUGGUUCGAUCUCUGUUUUUUUUUUGUUAUAGGUAUAAGAUUUUCUCAGGUAAUUGAUAAGACCCAAACAUGAUCCAAACUUCGUUUUCAGUUCAGUUUGGUUUGGUGUUUGGACUUCGGAUAAAUAUGUAUAAACUUAAUAGAAACUAAGUCUAACAAAAUGGAAUAUUACCAAAAAAACAAAGGUCCUGAAUAUAAAAAACACUCUCCAUGAUACUCACCAUCCUCUUAUUAACCUCCAGACUCCAGAGAGCACCACAGACUGAGCUCCAUAAUUUUAAUGUCCAAGCAAUGCAAUAAAUUUUUGGGACGUGAGGCCCCUACUACCUGCACUCUAAUCCAUCCUCCCAAAAUAUGCAAACUAAAGCAAGUUUCUAAGAAGAUCAAUUUAAACUAGUGGACCAAAUUGAUCAGGUGGUAUUAUAGCAUAUAUUUUUCAUAACAACAUCCACUCUUUAAAGGGGCUUUCUUAUAUAGAUAAACAUAGAAACAUUAAUGCAUAGCGAAAAUUUAAAGGCGAAUACGAGGGGAAGCUAGAAACGAAUAAACACAGAAACACUAGAGAAAGAGCAUAGACCAUAACUGAAGAAGCUCUACAACAUUCACCUUUCCAGUUUUGUUUUGUUUUUUUGUCGCCCAUUUAAGCUAAGAUCAAGUAGUGGUCAGAGAAGCCGAUUCUAUGGAAAGUUUUUCCGUCUGGUCGGAUCUGAUCUAUAUGGGAAAAAUAUAGCAUUUGGUUCUUGAUUAUUUUGCUAACGCGUCUGUCUGACCAUUUCUACUCCAAGAAAUAUGAGACAUGCUCACAUCUUCGAAAUCCUCAAGUAAUCUCUAGAACACCGUGACUAUCGCGAAUGUUAGCCAAUCCACUGGGUUUGUAGUCAUGUCCACUAGGUCCGAGUAGUCCGUCUCGAAUCGUAUCAAAAUUAUCCUUAUGUCUCUCAUACAUGAGACUGCCCAAAGUAAACCUUUCAUCUCAGCAUGCAAAGCUGAUAGACUAUUGCUUCACGCCCACCUUUCCAGUUUUGUUUAUUGGUCUCAUAAUAGCUGAAAAUAAUCGUUUUAGAAAAACAUUGUAGUUGUUUCCAAAAAAAAAAAAACAUUGUAGUACCAACACCAAUAUUUUAAGAGACUUGGUAGAACAGCCUUACACUAGUGUUAGUAAAAGGAUUGAUUGCUCUAGUUAUCAAAAUUAUAUAUACAAAUAAAAAAUUAGACAAAUUUAUAAAUUGAUACUAAUAUUAGCAUUUAAUUUAAUAAAUUUACAACAAUUAAAACCACUUUAAAAAGUUAUAAACUAAUUUGAACUGUAUAAAAAUUGGAUUUCAAUAAGAAUCGUUUUGGUUAUAGAAGAUAGGCCGUCUAGACGACUUAAACUGAUUUCGGCAAAUACUUAUUAUGUAACAAAGCUAAAAAAAAUGGGCAAUUGUCAAUAAUAGCACCUUUUGAAGUUUAUGUCUCAAAAAUGACACUAGAAGGAGAAAGUCACAAAAAUGACAUUCAUUAAAAAGUAAAAUAUCCCUAAUACCCUUAGAUUAAAAUUAAAUAAACAAACAAAAAUAAAUAAAUUAAAAAUUAAAAAAAUUUUAAAAAAAUAAAUUUUUUUUUAUAGUUUCAGAUUAUAUGUUUUCAGAUUCGAAAUUUUAUAAUUUUUUUUUAUUUUUUUUCGAUUUUUUUUUUAUUUUUUUUCGAAUUUUUUUUUUUCAAAUUCUUUUUAUAAUUUAAAAAUACUUUUUGUUUUUAAAAUUUUUAUCUUUUAUUUUAGUAUUUAUUUUUUAUAAAAUUUUAAACCCUAAUUCCAAAACCCCACCCUUUAACUCUAAACCCUAAGGUUUGGAUUAAUUAACCCAAGGGGUAUAAGUGUAUAUUUACCUCUUUAAUGAAACCUAUUUUUGUGACUUUGAACCUUGAGUGCUACUUUGGGAACAAAAACUUGGUUUAGUGCUAUCUUAGUCUUUUUCUCAAAAAAAAUCUUAGAGUACCAUUAACUCUAGCACCCUAGAUGAGGUGUUUAAUUUUUUUUUUUUUUAAAGUUUUUUGUCUGAUUUUUUUUAAAAAAAUUAAAAACGAACCAAUUACGGACCGUUACGUGUCGGAAUCUGCAAAAUAGUGUAAGCACUGAGAAAACACGGCGCUUAAUUUGGACUCAGGAGCUGCGACGCUUGUUGUAUUUGCGGGACCACAGUUGAUAAGCACCUCCUAAACAAGUGCGAUAAUGAUGCUCUAUAGCUUCCGUAAAGGCCAUUUGGAAGUAUUUGACUUCAGUCCUUAUAUUUAUAAAUAUCACAAUGAGGCCUUACUUAUUUAUACAUGACAAUUUAACCCCACAUAUAUUUUAAAUACUAAAAACACCCCCCAGAUUUAAUUAUGCAAGAUUGAUUAUUCUUAAUUUUCUUCUGCUACUCUCCGGUCAUCUUCGAUCCUCUCAAUCGCGGAACCCUAGUUGUGAGGAUCGAGAAUGAGUCAGCCAUGUGUGGUUCUCGCAACAGCGAGCUACGAUCACACGAUCCGAUUCUGGGAAGCCGAGAGCGGUCGCUGUUACCGCACCAUUCAGUAUCCUGACUCGGUAAGGAGAGACACACUCUUCUCUCUAUAGAUCAUCUUAAAAGCUUUCAACUUUCACAAAACCCUUGUCUUGUUUCUUCAGCAUGUGAAUAGGCUGGAGAUAACCCCAGAUAAGCGUCAUCUGGCAGCAGCUUGUAAUCCUCAUAUACGUCUCUUUGAUGUCAAUUCCAACAGCCCUCAACCUGUAAAGUUUCACCCUUUCUUUUGUUUUACAGUGUGUGUGUGUGUGUGUGUGUGUGUGUGUGUGUGUGGUUUUACUUGAAUGAUCUCUGUGCGAUUGAAUCAGGUGAUGACUUAUGAUUCACACACCAACAAUGUUAUGGCAGUGGGGUUCCAGUGUGAUGGGAAAUGGAUGUAUUCUGGAUCAGAGGAUGGUACUGUUAAAAUCUGGGACUUGAGGUAGUUUUUUUGUAGUGUUGAGUGUCAAUAGAUUAAAUCAUUAAAGUGCAAAUGCUAGGAGAAAAAAUCUUGUAUUGAAGCUACUUCUUAAGUUGAUUUGCAUUUCUUUGCUGACUCGUAAGACCAAAAUGUAGGGCUCCAGGUUGCCAAAGAGAGUAUGAGAGUGUUGCCGCUGUUAACACUGUUGUUUUACACCCAAAUCAGGUAUAUCAGCUGUAAAAGCCAUGUGUCAUCAGUAUACACUUAAGAGAUCUGUUUAUGCUGCGCUUAUCAGAGUUGUGUUUGCUUCUAGGAUAUUUGUCUCAGUUGCAAUGGUCUUUGUUCAUGAACAUUGCGUUUUUUUUUCUACAGACUGAGUUGAUAUCUGGAGACCAAAACGGCAAUAUACGUGUAUGGGAUCUCAGAGCUAAUUCGUGUAGCUGUGAACUGGUAAUUUUCUUGACACAAUUGUUACAUUUAUCUUAGCUUUCACCCAAACAGGAUCUUUAAACGAUUCUGUGUAAUCUCUCUCUCUUGUGGAACUAAUAGGUACCAGAAGUUGAUACACCUGUACGCUCUCUAACGGUUAUGUGGGAUGGGACUAUGGUUGUUGCUGCUAACAACCGUGGAACAUGUUAUGUUUGGCGCUUGUUGCGCGGAAAACAGGUAUGAUAAGUCAUUCAAGUCACAUUCGUAUAGUUGCCAUUGCCAUUUAAAUUGUUGUAUCGUUUUCAGACGAUGACAGAGUUUGAGCCACUUCAUAAGCUGCAAGCUCAUAACGGCCACAUCCUUAAAUGUCUACUCUCUCCCGCAAACAAGUAAUGUGUUUCUUACUCUCUCUCUCUCUCUCCCCAUAUGACACGGUUCCUCCAUCAUCUCCCUUACAUAUUCUGUUAGCAGAUAUCUAGCGACUGCAUCAUCUGAUAAAACUGUCAAAAUAUGGAAUGUUGAUGGUUUCAAACUAGAGAAAGUCUUAACAGGUGAGCUCUCCAUGUUUUCUUAAGAUAAACGUUACUGGUUUCCCCAUUGCUCUCUCUUACACUCUCAUCAACCUUAUCUAACAGGACAUCAAAGAUGGGUAUGGGACUGCGUCUUCUCAGUGGAUGGAGAGUUUCUUGUAACAGGUACUCAUCACUAAUCUCCAUCUUAAAAAUCAACAACUUGUCUUAAAAAAAAGACAGAACAGUCUUUUUAACAGUUUUUUAUUCUGUAAUAUGCACAGCAUCAUCGGACAUGACGGCUAGGUUGUGGUCUAUGCCAGCGGGAAAAGAAGUCAAGGUGUACCAAGGUCAUCACAAAGCCACCGUGUGUUGUGCCCUCCAUGAUUAAAAACAUGAAUUAAUAGUCAAACAAAACUAAAUAAAGAACAGAUAAUCAUUUCUCUCUUUUGUGUGUUUAGGAAACUCUUGUACAUUUGUAUCAGAUUCAUCUCAAGUUU
rnacentral:lncRNA from 1 species